rnacentral:lncRNA from 1 species
GGUUGGCAGCUGAACUUGCUUUUGCAUAUCGCAAGUCCAUAAUGUUACAAUUAAUAGCAAUUGUUCGUUAAAUUUCCUUUGACAGGCUAGUCAUGUGAUAGCAAACAUGUUUUUUCAAAGAUAUCCUUGACAAUUUACAUGCCAACUCUUAGGGUCUCUUAAGAAUCAAUUAAUACUUGUUCUGUAUUUUAUUGAGAUACAAGAGAUGCUUCCUGGAGCCAUAGCCUUAGAUUGUCUGUCUGCUCCUGAAUUAGGUUAUCUGGGUAGUGGUUGGAUAUCUAACUUAAGGUCUUUGGAAAUUUGUUGUUACAAACAUGUCUUUUGCCUUUGCUCAAAAUCAUGCUUACAGAAAUAGUUAUUCUCAUGCAGAUCGUUUCAAGUUGGGAGAGAAAAGUUUUUAAUCCCAUGGCUUUUUGUGAUAAAUCGUAAGAGUUCUGAGGUUCCAAUGAUUGACGUCCAUUUGGUAAGUCAUGGUUUAUGAGCAUUUCAACAUAUUUACCAUGCCAUCAUCUUUUGAGAAAAUGGAAAAUAUGGGCUCCCUGGACAAUAUUGUUUCAUUGAGAUACAAACAUUGAUUCUGUAAAUUUAGGAAUCUAUAUGGAAAAGAAAGAAGUUAUUAUCUGUAUCUUUUAUUGGCUAAUCUGUUAUUGUGAUCAAUUUGUAUGCAAUGCAGAGGUACUCAGGAAGUGAUUUGCAUGGUGUCACUGCUAAAGUUGUGGAUAUGCCUCACCACUGUAUGUAAUUCCAUUUUGCUCAUUUCUUAAUCUAGUUCAAUGGUUUGCUUUCCAUAGCGAUUCCAGCAGGCCCUUUUGAAGGGCUUGUGUUGUGUUGUAAUUUAGGCUCUUUAUUUUGUUUUUGGUGAGUUAAAAUUUCUGUGGGUCAGUCCUUAAUGGACAGAGGAAUAAGACUCCUCGAUUUCAUUGGUGCAGAUAUAAGUUUUAACUAUCAUCUUUGGAAAAGAAAAAAGCACAUAUAGUUGUAAGAGUUAUUUUCGCCCUUGCUUGAGGAGUUUUUAUAACAUUUUGUCCUGGGCAGAUGUAGAAAUCCAUCCAGACAUUCGUAAACAAUUUUGGGAUCCUCAGCACUGGCCAAAGCAUGUGCUGGUCAGAUAUACAUGGUCAGCAUCACUUCACUUUUCUUUUAGUUAUGAUUUGCAUAAAUCUUAGGAUUCCAAAUUUUGCACUCUGUGAAAUGUGACAUUAUUUUGUUGUCUGCAUGCAGGCAGGAGCAAUCAGAGAUAGACGUGACUUCCGGAUUUUAUGUACUGUUUGGAUCAGGUAAAAAUCUGUGCUUGAUCAAAUUAGAUAUGUUAAUUGUAUAUUCGUUUAUCAUUCCCUAUCUUCCUGCAAGCCUUGCCUUCAAACAUACAGUUUAGAGAACAUACAGUUUCUUUGGCUCUCAAGAUGGACAACCUAAUGAUAUAUGUAUAAAUUUGAUGAGAGGCGGCCUAAAAAUGUGGAGCCUUUCUGACACCAUUGCUACUAAAUUUCUUCAUGCAUUCAACAGGUCUGAUGCUUUCUUUUAUUCUCUCAAUAUACAUCUUGCAGUCAUCGCGAGACAAAUUGGCCAGGUACUUCUUGGAAAUAUUUGGGUAUUUUGUUGGCUACAAACUAUGUUUAUGGACAAGCUACCAAAAUUUCAUUCACUGUUGGUGUGGUGAUUAAUGCUUUGCUCUACCUGUUUUUCUGGUAAUGUGAUUCUUUCCAGGUUUGUGAGGGAGAGAGUUGCAGAAAGCAGCAUGCCUGCUGGAGGUGUGGCAAAGGUUGAAUGAUAGAACAACCUUGAAGCAUCAAUAUGUGGUCUGCAUGUGCAACUCAGUCCUGAAGAGAAUUAUAUUGGUUGGGGAAGAUAUGAUGCCGUGAACGCAUUUCGUUACCUUAAUUUGGUAAAGGAAAGCAAUCCCCCAUCUCUGUCGCAGCCCAAAAGCUUGGACUGAGUUCAAACUAAUCAGAGUAACAAUUUUUUGUUUUUCCAUAUAUGCCAGAUUGAUCUGCACGGUCUAAACGUUUCUGUAAACUCUCACAGAUGUACCUAAAAAAACAUUUAAACCAUGCUAAUAUCAGAUUUGUAGAGUAGAGCAAUAUGUUUCUUUUGCUGAUUGGUCUGGAUGGUCAAAGCAUACAAAUCCUGCUCUGGUUUGCCUUAUUAGUUUUCAUUUUCAUAUUUUAAGGAAAACAGAAAACAGAAAAGAGAGAAAAAAAAAAUUAGAGGCCAGAGUGCUGCUCAUUCGUUUGCUUAUGCUGCACUUUUAACGAUUAAAGCAACACUUUUGAAAUCCUCUGUUCUUAUAAUAAGCGUGGGCUUCACAACGUGAAGAAGAAAGAAACCAAGAGAACUGAAGAUAUUUAAACUUGUAAAUUCAACCUGCCAUGCAUUGAAAACAAAACACAGGGAAGCAAGCACAUAGAAAUUUGAAAGUAAGAAAAAAACAAAAAAGGAAGAUGAAAAUGAUCAUAUACGUAGUACAAUUAAAUAAAAUGAAGACAUAGAGAAACUUAUUCUUUAUUGAUUAGAGAAGUACCAAACCCUAAACAUAAAACUUCCAAUCUACUGCCGGCCGACGACGAUUAUUCUAGCCCAAAGAACACGAAAAGAGAAGAACUAAAACUAAACACGAACGAAACUAGCUCUAAUGACCACUUCGAUGUAGUAUAAAUAGCAGCACUCUUUACUUUAUCAUAAUUAUUUGGUCUAGAUCACAGCCAGUAGCGUUAAAAUUUUGAGCAACCGAUUGAAUGGAACUGAGGAAAGGGACCUUCAAAUAGCAUGAAACAAGGUGCAUGUAACGCCUCGUCCUUGCACCAAUCCUAGUAUAACAGUUGACAUACAACCUGAAAAUGAGGUCAAAACUCGUACUAUUCUUUAACUUGGAAACCUCGUCUGCCCCAAGAGCCACCUGCGUCUCCCCCUUGAAAAACCAUGUAUUAAAUAGCUUCACUCUCUUGGGCCCUACAUUGAAAUCGUUACUAAAAUAAGUUUCGUUUGUUCUUUGGAGCAUCAAAUUAUUAGUCUGGUUGAUCGCGGAAUAAAGAACGCCGUCUGCAUGGUUAAUUACGUAGGCGCAUUUUCUGUUAGGGUUUUCGACCGUUCCGUUGACGGCUACGUAGUACUGGAGGACGGUGUCGUUUCUGGUGAGGUUGUGCGUGACCAACCAGAUAUAUUUCACUUGAUACUUGAGGAGUUCACUCCGGCCAUCGAAAUGUAAGAAAUACAUUAUCAUACCAUGGGCGGCUCCGGCAACAAGAAGAGCAGAAGUCACGAUCAAAAUUAGGACGAUGCACCUUACCAUGGUCGUGAAUUUCUAAAGAGAAAAUAAAGAAGGAGGACGAAGUAAUUUGUAAAUGAAUAGCCAGAGGGUUUUUAAAAGAUGUGAGAUGGCAAUUCAAAAAUGAAUACAGGGUUUGAAAAUGGGAGCAGUAAUUUCGGGAUUUCGUUUUGUGAUCUUACAAGUUUAGGUCGAAACUAGGGAAACUAGUGCUUGGCUUAUAAGUUUUAUUAAAGUUAAUUAAAAUUGAGUGCUGGGAAUUAAUUACUUCGCAAGUUCCUUCUUUUAAGAAUAUCAAAGCGGAUGUGAUUGAAGAUUUGAGAUCAAUUACUAAUUACUAUAUAGACUAGUAAAUUAACUGUAUCAAAAUUUAAGCCCUACAAUCGUGGGAAUUAUAUUCAAUCAGCCAACCUUACAUUGGCAAUUAAUAAAUCAAUAAUAAACGUUCUAGCAUCUAUAUAGUGUUUGUGAGUUUAAUAUGUUAUCGUCCCUCUAAAUAAGAAGGGAGCAUUUUUGCUCACCACUUUAACCUAAGGUGUACCCUCACCACCCUUCCCAAAAGGUGACACAUGUCCAUGAGUUUAACUAUAGUUAAUUUUUACUUUUUAUUAUGUUUGAUGACAUUAUUAUGAGAGAGAAACAAUGCUUUAAUAAGAUUUUUCCCGAUUUACCAUUAUUCUAUUAAUUAACUCAACAAACUUUCCACUUUUAUAUUAAUUACCAAUUAAGCUAAUAACAACCCGAAUAAUUAACAACAGCAGAACAGUCAUUACUUAAAUAAAUAAAAAUUAACAGUCUUCCACUUCCCAUGAAUCUGUUGGCAUCCCAAUCUUAACGAAGGACAUGAAUUGUUAAAUUCGAAUUUGGCCUUGAUACUCAGAAAACUAAAUAAAACAAAGCAAAUUUAUAAUUUUAAAAAAAAACAAUACAUAGUACUAAAAAAAACAAGUAACAACAUAGACGAUACCUAUCUUUUGCUUGAACAAAGGAAAGAAGUCUAUUGAGCAUAGUUCACAUAUAAGCACCCAAAUUGUGAAUAAUCAAGAAACUAGAAAAUCUCAAUUCAAGAGACUUCUAUGUUUUUUUUUUUUGGAAUAGUAACGUAUGCCUUUUCAGUUUUCAUUGUUUUGAUUUAUUUUUUAAAUUAAAUUAAUCAAUAAAAGUGGAAAGUUCGUUAGGUUAAUUAAUAGAAUAAGGCUAAAUUAGGAAAAAUCUUAUUAAAUCAUCAUUUCUCUCUCGUAAUAAUGUCAUCAAACAAAUAAAAAAUAAAGAGUUAACUAUAGUUAAAUCCAUGGACAUGUGUCACCUUUUGGGAAGGGUGGUGAUGAUACACCUUGAGUUAAAGUGGUGAGCAAAAAUGCUCCCAAAUAAGAAGGGUCUUUAAAAAAAAUAUUUCUCAAGAUUCUCCUUUCUCGUUAUGGUGACUCUAUCAUUCUUCUUGUGUAGAGGAUUAUUUCAUCUUAAUUUUUGUCUAGUGUGAGAGUUCGUAUUACUAAAAUAUUCAAAGUAUAAGAAUCUAAAUGGCUUGGGUGAGACCAAAAUUAAAAACUUGUCAAAUUAAUGUGACUUGCUCAACAAAUAUAUAUAUAUAUAUAUAUAUAUAUAUCAUAAGGUCUUGAAAUUAACCCAAGGGUUGGUUGGUGGAAUCGAUUUCCUAUUAUUUUAACAAAAGAAAGAAAAGAUCGUUCUUAUACUUAUUAUAGAUAUAGAAUUAUAUGAAUAUACAGAAAGAAAUAAAAUAAUAGUUUCUUUAUUGAUUUGAUAAGCAAACUCCAAACAUAAUCCGAGUCUACAUAGCCAAUGCCAUUACCAUUAUUACAACGUACGAAAGAACAAUAACACCAAAUUAAAGCCAACAAUUAAACAUAAAAUUAUUAACUAAUAAAACAUGAAACCAUAUUAAUGUUUGUGGACAGUGCACAUGGUAACGUUAAAACGUUGAGCAAAUUUUCCGUCGGAGAUCAAAGGGACCCUCAAAUAGCAGAUGGCGUUGUAAUUAAAAUGCGCACGUCUUCUACCAAGCUUGGUCGAACUUCUACCACUGGCGACCCACAACAGAUCGAAAACCGUAGCGCUCCUCAGCUUCGAAACCUCAUCGGCCGUAAGAUCCAGCCGCAACGCCUGGUUCUCCGAUGAAGCCAAAUAAGCCACUCUGUUGUGGGGUAGAUCGAACCGCUCAAAAGUGCUGGCUGACAAAAUGUUCUUCUUAGACCCGAAAUAUGCAACGGUCAUAACCUGCUCAAAGUGGUAGGCACCCUUCUUGUUAGGGUUUGUAGCGGAUGCAUUGAUGGCUAGGUUGUAUUGGAGAGUGAUGUUGUUGUUGGCCAACUCAAACUGGGUGAAGGAGGCAUCGAACACCUCGUACCUGAUGUGUUUAGUACGACCAUUGAAAACAAGAUAGGAUAUCAAACCACUGAUGGCUCCAAGAACAACUAGUGUACCAAUGGUGCUUAAAAUAAUGCCGAUGCAUUUAGACAUGGCUAAUUUCUAGAGCUAAUUCUAGAGAAUUAGAAUGAGAGAGGGAGAGAGAGAGAGCAGAAAGUGAUUGAUUUGUGAAUGAAUAGAAUGCUUGAACGACAAGAAAGAAUGCAAUGUGGUGUAAACAUUGAGGGUUUUAUAUAGGGUUUAGAAUGAAACAAAGUGUGUUAGGGAUGGCCGCGUGAAAAUUAAUUACUAAUGAGGCUGUGAUUUUGGGAUUUUGUAUUUAUCCUCUUACAUGUGAUUGUGUGAGUUUUGGGAAACUAGUGCUUGUUGAUGGGAAUUGCUUGGCAAGUUCAUUUCUUUGAGAGUAUCACGCGGGCAAUAUCAUUCAGAUCAAUUACUUGUAUUUACUAUAGCCCAGUAAAUUAAUUAAUUUAAUCCCUAUAAUUAUGGCAAUUUGUGUGAAUUUAGUUUUGUGGGCUGGGAGCCUUGGACUUUGUUAGCUUGUUUUUGCUUGGUUCUUCCAACUUCGGGCUGUCUUGUUUCUCAGGCAUGAAUGUGGGCUUUUUUAUAGAACUUUUCAGGACCAAAAAUAAGAACAAAUAAAGAACAAGGAACUUUUCGUGCCCCAUAUUUUGACAUAGACAGAUGUUGCCGUGUGACUCCAAGGCAGCACUUGGGUUUGUCUCGGAUUAAACAAAAGGUGGUCUAGAGAGACUAGAGAAGCCUUAACUGAUUCUCUAUCAACUCCAUGAAGCUUUCCUUUCAUUUGUUUAAUUUUUGUUUUCUUAAGCACUUAUCAAAUAUUCAUCAUCAGGACCCACACUGACUAGACUUCCAGGGAACAAAGAAAUUUGGAAGCUAUAAAAAAUUCCCAAGUGUGGCUAGUCAUUGGAGGAUUGGUUGGUCCCCACUACUGAGAUUCAUGGUACAGGACGAAUACAAAAUCACUAAUCUUUGUUGAGUGACUUCACCUUCUCCUUGUCCCCAACAACGACCCAUAUGGUCUUAGUCUCAGAUUUUAAAUCAACCAGCUCAGUGAAAUUAGUGCAUGUCCCGGUGGCUAUAGUGGUAGACAUAUAUUAGAGCAUAUCUGUCUGUAAGCAACACAGAUUGUUAGGGUUACUAAAGCUUAUCUAGUCAUUUAGGCGUGUUUACUUCCUAUUUCCGAUUUUGAGGGUAUUCGAUUACUAAUUUUACGGUGAAAUUCACAUAAUUCUUUAUUCCUUAUGUGUUAGUAAACGAGGGAGAAGUCAGGAAUUAGAAUAAUUCCAAUACCUUUGUGUUAGUAAAUAUAAAAUAAGCAAGAAGUGGAAUCAAUACAAUACUCAUUCAUUAUAAGUAAACAUGUCUUAAUUAAUUAUUAGAGUAGAAAAUGUUAAAGGAAGUUGAAAAUUAGUGGACCUAAUGGCAAAUGCAUAGCCUCUAGGAACUAGAGUUUUGAUAUCGUGUUAGGUAACCUUUAUACUCUAAAAUUUAAGUUAUCAGAGAUACUUCUGAAACAUACGUGACGACAUUCACAUUGAUUGAACUUUGGUGGCCUUUAUUAAUUUACCUAAUCUAUAUAUUGAGAUAACGUAAAUUAAUGAAAGUAGAUAUUAUACAUUUUCCUCCACCCCUCUCAUAAGAGCAGUGCAAGCAACCAAUUGUUGGACCGAAUAGUGGUAUGCAUUAUUACAGAGAUUACUCUCUGCUCCAACGUGUUCUCUACCUUUAUAAGUACAAUGAUAAUAUAACUAUAUUUCAUGGUUCCCCUAAAUUAUUGGCUCAAACAACAACUUCUUUUUUCACGAACCCUAAACCCUAAUUAUUUAGUACACGCGCAUAUGCAACAAUCCAAAACCCACACACACAAAAAGAAAGAAAGGAAACCACCAAAAGCAUAGAUCUUAGUCCAAUAAAUUUAUCUCCAAAAAGGUUAUACAAAUACACAAAUAUACUUAAAUUAUGAAGCUGGAUUGACAAGUUGGUUCUGGUAAACUGCCCCAAACCAUAUGCUGAAGCUUUGGUUGGUCCUGUUGGGCAUCUUCGUACUUGUGAAGGGUUCUCCUUUGCUGCUGGUCCCGACUGAUUGGGAACGUGAGGUUGUGAUUCUCAUACACCACGCUUGCCUUUCUUAACCUAUAUGCUUCAACCUUUUUGUAAUUUGUAAUUUGCACUUAGUUUUUUGAGUUUAUUUAAGAGGACUUUUUGGGUUAAAAUGGUUCAAUCUAGUGUACCUCUAUGGUUAUUAAUUAUGUCUCUAAGUCCCUCUAUUAUUAAUGGAAACACACUUUACAGCCGAAAGCUAGCUAAUAUCCACCUUUGAUUGGCUUCAACUUGUAACCUAAUUAAGUUUCAACAUCUUAAUUUGGGGUAACUAUAGUACUAGUAUAGUACGGUAGUAUUGUCACGGUAUAACUUGUCCACAUGUUAUAAUAUAAAUCCUGUCGUCUACCCAUAUUAUGACACGUGUAUACGACAUGACAAUACUAUUGUUUUUAUGUUACUAUUUGGUAUAUUUGUGCUCUCUAUAAGCCACACAAGUUGUGUCUAAAUUACUUAAACACAAUUAUUUCCUUAUUCUGUUCAAGUUGGACACAAAACUAUUGUGUCUUCUCUACAUAUGACACAAAUACUGCAUAUAUGUGAUUCAAAAAGACAUGACCCUCUUUUUUGUGGCCUUUGGAUUGUGAUUUUUGCCCAAUUUUAUAAUAGUGCAUAUUAUAACAGUGUAUACCAAGCGACAAUACAACCAUAUUAUUCUAUAAUUUCUCCUUAAUUUGGUCAUCUCUCAUUUCAAGAUAACAAUGAGCACAUUCCUGCUUUAUACAGAUGCAUAUGGUGUCUUCCAGUCGCAAACUUUAUCAUAGAUUAUAAAAGAUUAUGCUGAGCAAUCAAUGGCCUCUCGUGUGGUCCAAAUCUAUCUCUAUUUAUAAAAGGGCCUCCCGUUGUUGACACCAUAAUUAAGCAGUGGCAUGUUUUGUCCAUCAAGUUUCUUAUUGGACGCCACAAAUUUUAACCCUAUGUUGCUUAUAAUGGGGAUUGAGCUCAUACCAAUCAGAAAUCUUGUUGAAGCUGUUCCCUUGAAAAGAAUUAAUAAACUUGGAAGUCUCCUUUGUUGAACCUAACAUUUCAGGUAUGUGUGUGGGAGUAGGAGACAUGGCCAUGGUGGACAUCCAUCAUUUUGUUCAGCAACCACAAAUAAUUGAAGUUAUGAACCAAUGACAAGGGAAAAAGUUCAACCAUGGGUUAUUUAUAGUUUUUAAAAUAAAUAAAUAAAAACUAGCCGUCCAUUUUUGUAAAUUGAAAAAAAUAUAUAUAAUAGUCCAAAAAAAAAAAGUGAAAAUAUAUUUUUAUUAAAAAGAAAGCUUAGGCUUCUAGCUAAAAAUCAAAACUUUGGUUACUCAACUUAAAAGACAUGAAAAGGAGAUUAAAGAAAAGGGAAAGACAUGCAUGCCCAAGUGGAAAGAAGCCAAUAGCGUCUUGGUACAUUAUUAAUAGAUAAAAAUAAAUACUUUAAAAGCUAAUUGUAUGAUUCUGUCUUAAUUAACUUUUUAUAUUAGAGACUAAUCAAAUGGUUUAAAGCAUCAAAAAGCUGAAUUUGAAAGGAUUGAUUAACUUUAACUUUUCCCAAUUAUCUUUAAGUGUUGCAUUGCAACCAUCACCAUGCUGCCCAUUAAGCAAAGGGAAUCUAUAAAUAAGAAUUAAUAUUUACAAAAUUGAAGUCAAAAAAAAGAAAAGAGAAGAUCAAUGGAAGUAGAAAUAUUCUUCGUUUCCAUUUGUGGUCAGCUUAGUCAAAUGAAUCCCCAAAUGAAAAAGGAUCCGUACGUAGUACAGCUGAAAUGGAUUCUAAACUCAUGGCUUUGUGCAGAUGUCUUGUUGUAAAGGAUGGCACACAUAAAAACAUCCGUUGAUCGACUCCAAAGGGCAGGGCUUAACACAAAAGAAGAAACCAAAGGUGCAAGGUAUGAGAUUACUUUUGAAAAAAGAACAAUAAAAAGUUGAGGAAUAAAGUAGUUAAGGGAGUGCUUUUGGUAUUACCGAUCAACAAAAGCGUAUAUUGAUACAAGAAAUAUCGAGAAAGGGAGAUUAAAUCUAGAACCUCGAGUACAUAGAUAAAUGCUCUUAAUCAUUUGAGCUGCAAGCUCCUCGCACAAAAGCAUUUUUAAAUAGUAUUUUGCUGAAUACACAAACAAUAUUUUUGAGACUAGAUUCUUCGUAAAUGCUCAUUGAAUUAGUGUUUUUAGGAAAAAAAGGGAGAUUUCCUAUUUUAAUGACAUUCUUGUUUUUGUUCACAAUGCUCUAGAAAGAAUCAAAGAAUCAAUUAUCAUUCUCAAACUACCUAAAAUGACAAGAUCAACUUAUAUGGUAAACUUUAUCGCGGAACUAUUCGAUAGUAGAACUGGUUUUUCCCCAAGUUCCUCAAUCUUGGUCGGGGGAAUGUCCCAUUACUUGGAGGUAUAGGUGUCCUAAUUAUUGUUCCCUACCACGUAGGUGCCUUUCCUUUCUUUAACCCUACUAAUACUAAUAGAGUAGUAGAUCAGGUCGAUAAUUCUCAUUCAAGAUGAAUAAACAACGCUUUCCAAGGUUCUUAUAUAAUCAUAUUCCAUUUGCCUAUUAAUAAUAGAUAACAGGACCAUAUUAUAUAACGACAUAAACAAAAAAUUAUGGCAUGUUUUGAUGAAGUUCAUACUAACGUUCGUGUGAGAUUUUGUAAAUAAGACAAGAACUAGGUGCAUGCAUGUUAUGGAAGAAAUGGAUUGCCUCAAUUCUCGUGUGGGAUGGCAACGGGUCGGGUAGGGGUCGGGUACCAUUUCCGUCCUCGCUCUUUAUCUCUGCUUCCGUCUCUGAAGUCAUCCCCAUUUAAUAGGUUUCGGGGACUUUCCAUUCCCGUCCUCUUCGGGGGAUUAUCUCCCAUACCCGCCCGAAAUCCCUGAUUUUUUUUGCAUAAAAAUAUUUAUAAUACAUUUUAACAUUAAGUUUCAUAUUAAAUUAUCAUUCAACACAUUCAAAUUAACUAUAAAGUUCAACUCAACUAUUUAAAAUCACAUCAAUAUGAAAUUCCAAAGAAAAUUAGGAAGAAUUAGGAGAGGGAUGAGGACGGCAAUACCAUCCCCUCCCCAUACCCGUCAGAGAUUUUUCAAGUUCGAGGAUCUCCGUACCCAAUACCUGUUUGGCCCCGAAAUCUCCCCCCGUUAAGAUCGGGUACCCGCCCCCUUGAGGAUUUUUGCCAUCUCUAGUGUGCAUGGUGGGUUUAGGGCACCUCCCAUUUUUUAGGACAAAAUCUGAUUAAAGAUCCAUAAUUUCCCAAUAAUUUCAACUUAAGACAAUUAAAUGGACUAAAUAUCACCUUCCCACUAGUAUAAUCUAAAGUGAGUCGACAUGGAUUUAGCUAAGUUAGUUGCACCUAAGUUCAAAUUUCUCUCCCUAUAAUUUAGACCAAAUUUAAUGGUCCAGUCGGACUUAGCAUGAUUAGUUGAACAUAACACGUUAGCUUCAACCCUGUAAAGUUAAGAGUCUGAAUAAAAUAUUGAAUCAAACAUUUUGAUAAAUUAUAGCUUUUAGGUUUUAGCUUCAUUACUAGUCUCUCUGAUAUUCCAAUUAAGCCCCACUUGUAUAUAUAAACAGAGAAAGCACAUAUAUAGUUCCAAGUUCCAACUUAUUUAUAUAUUAUUCGAGUGCAGAAUUGUCCUAUAUAUUUUAUUUCACUAGAAGAAAAAAAAAACCAUCUUAUUUUCAGACAGACAAUACAAUAAUGUGACAAUAGAAUUGAUUGGAUAAAGCCAAAAUUUAGGUGGACAUAGACAGAGUGAUGCGCAUGCUUAUUAUAUGACAUAGCCAUUUUCACUAAGCUGCACACUGUAUAAAGAAAUAUAUAUGUAUAUAAUUCAAGGCCUAGGGAUAUGCAAGUUGAUCAAAGCUGCUCUGUUUUGCUCUGUUUUCCCCUGUUUUCCACUCUCCAUGUUUCAGUGCAGCAUUUCUUGGUUGCUCUUUCUUCUUUGCAAUAAUAGCAAGUGAAAGGCCAAAUACACGCUGCCAUGGCCGAGGAGGAGAAGUAGCAGCUGCAAAGACAAACAGUUUCCCAAGACCCCAAAAGUGACUGACAGACAGCACAGACAGCUUAAAUUGGGGCUUUGAAAGUAAAUACAAAGGUCUGUGGCUCUGUUUUUGUAAUGAUUUUUUAAAAAAAAAAUUAAAACUUUGGGUUAUGAUUAUGAUUAUGAUACGUACAUAUUGGGUUUUGUUUAGUUGAUGUUUAUUAAUUAUUUGGAGGAGGAUUUUAUUUUUUUGGUUUAAUAUAUGUAUUUAUAUUUAUACAUAGAAAAUGCACAUAGGACCCCAUUGGACAAGGCGUCUCUAAAACUGGACCGUGGGCUGUACUUUUUAUAGGAUUGUUUUUCUUGUGUCGUCGGAUAAACAUGUGCUUGCCUGGUACUGAAUCUCGAGGAAUUAUAAAUGGUGGUAAUCACCCUCUGAUUCCAAAGCAUCAUGUAGUUGAGGACUAUAAUGGAGACUUGACAAUGAGAGCUAGAGGCGAAGGCGGCGCCACCACCACCUCCACUUCUUCUUCUACUUUCAUUCAGACCUUCCUUCAACGCCUCCACCAGCUCCCCAAUAAUGGCCUUCUCGAAGGACUUCCACUUACUGAGGUAUGUACCCUCUAACCCCCUCAUCCCUCUCUCUUUCUCUCAUUCAAAUGUUCCGACAUGCAUCAUAUUAUGUAUGUCUCUCGACAUUAAUAUAGCGUUAUAGAAAUUUAUCUUUACUUACAAUCUAUGUGACAUGCCCAACAGUCACACGUGAAUCAUCUUGAGCUUUAAAGAUGUUAUGUUAUGUAAAACUAUUUAUGUUUUUUAAUCAUUUUAAGUGGAAAUACACAAUUAAGUGAUCGACUUGCGUUUGCCCAAAGAAUAACCGUAGUAUGAGCUAAAGGGCUUAGGAGCGGAACUUCUUUCAUGCCUCUGAGGCUCAGAGAGAGCAUGUUUCAGAAGGAGCUAUACCUUUUUACACACACACAGGUCUGGCCCCACAGGCCCACACUCACACGAGUGAAAGGACCAAUUUGGAACCUACAUGGGUCCCAUGAUGUUUUUGUAGGAACACGUAAGCGCCCAAUUAAGAAAUAAUUAACAACCACAAACCUCCUAAUCAUAACAGCAUGUUCAGGUAUUGGUCCUCCCCAAAUGCCUCCCAGUGUAAGCUAUGCUUAAUUAUCUCAACACAAAUUAGGCUAGGCGUAGUUUUGCAGCAAUGAAUUAACCAAAACAGAAUGCAUUUCUCGAGUCUUGCAACUAAAACUGACUGAGAACACAAGUCUGACAGAUUCCAGCUUGUGAUUAAUUAAGAAUAAUAUCAAACAUUACUUUCUAAUCAUAGGUGAUAACCUUAAUUACUCUCAGCUCCAAGUAGAAUCAUUUACAUGACAGCUUUAGAUUCUUUUGACGUACGUUGACAAUUUUUUUAAAUUAGCUUCAUCUGUAAAAUAGCCAGUGCCCUAGAAAAGUUUACGAAUAUACCUCACCAACUUCACCUUUUGCCCACUUGCAACUUUUAUAAUGCAUGAAAAGGUCCAAAUUGAUUGUCAAAUGGCUAUAAAAAUUCUAAAGCUCACUUUUAGACUGCAUUUCAGUAUUCUAGGACCUUGGGACGAACAUAAGUGACAUAGAAUUGCUGUUUUUUCACGUGUGCAUCUGUCAUUUUUUGUUUUUUGUUUUUUUUAAUAUAAGUGAUAAUUUAAGAUGCAAGGGGAUUUUCAAACAAACACACUAUCAAUGUGUCAUAGAAAUUCGAAAUUCGAAUCAUAAACUCUAUAUCUCUCACUUAAUCUCUCUCUCUCUCUCUCACAAUGUGAAUCUUAUGUAGAUAGGACAAGAGUUAAGAUCGUUGGUAAAGAUUGGGGGGCCAAUAGUGGUGACAUCUAUUCUCAUAUAUUCAAGGUCUCUAAUUUCAAUGCUGUUCUUGGGGCGUCUUGGGAAAACAGAGUUGGCUGGAGGUUCAUUGGCCCUAGGGUUUGGAAAUAUUACAGGCGUCUCAAUCCUGAGCGGCCUCUCAAUGGGAAUGGAUCCAAUUUGUUGCCAAGCUUAUGGAGCCCAAAGAUGGGCAAUUCUCAGUCAAACCUUUCAGAAAACAGUUUGCCUCCUCCUGCUUGUCUCCAUACCCAUUGCACUUUUGUGGCUCAACAUGGAGCCCAUCUUUAUAUUGUUGGGUCAGGACCCUCAGAUCACAAGAGUUGCCAAAGUUUACCUGGUUUUCUCCAUCCCUGAAUUGCUAGGUCAAGCUCACCUUCUACCAUUAAGAACCUUCUUGAGAACACAAGGCCUAACAACCCCACUAACCCUAGCAGCUGCAUUUGCAGCCCUCUUGCAUUUGCCUAUCAACUACGUUUUGGUCACAUACUUGAAUUUAGGGGUAGGAGGUAUUUGUUUGGGCCUUGCUUGCAACACCUUACUAUUUAAUUUGGGCUUGCUCAUUUACCUAACUAUCUCAACCCAUGCUUUGAAACCUUGGCAUGGGCUUACCAUGAUCUCUGCCUUUCAAGGAUGGAAGCCAUUGAUAAGUUUGGCAUUGCCCAGUUGUGUUUCAGUGUGCUUGGAGUGGUGGUGGUAUGAAAUAAUGUUGUUCUUCUGUGGCUGGUUGAGUAACCCACAAGCCAGUGUUGCAGCAAUGGGGAUUUUAAUUCAAACCACAGGGAUGUUGUACAUUAUCCCAAUUUCUUUAAGGGCAUCCAUAUCGACACGUGUGGGCCAUGCGUUAGGAGCCGGGCAACCGACCCGGGCCAAGUGGGCUGCCAUAAUUGGGCUUAUUGUGGCAUUUGCUUGUGGACUCUCAGCAUUCAUCUUCAUGACUGCUGUGAGGUCCAAGUGGGGGACUAUAUUCACAGAUGAGCCACAAAUUCUUGAUCUGAUUUCAACUGCACUGCCAGUUUUGGGCCUGUGUGAAUUUGGCAACGUUCCUCAAACAGCUGCCUGUGGAGUGUUAUCAGCUACUGCAAGACCUAAGCUUGGAGCCAGAAUAAACUUGUAUGCAUUUUACCUCAUUGGAUUGCCAGUUGCUAUUCUUGGAACUUUUACAUUCAAAAUUGGGUUUCUUGGGCUUUGGUUUGGGCUACUUUCAGCACAGGCUUCUUGUGUUUGUAUGAUGGUGUACACAUUGAUUCACACAGAUUGGAACCACCAAACAAGAAGGGCUGAGCAGCUAACACUGGGUGUGCAAGAGACUCAACUGAAUGAGGAGAAAAAAGAGGAUGAAGAAAGUGGGCUGCUACCUCCUACUGCUGAGCUCUGAGUUUACAAAAUAUCAAAGUUUCAGGGAUAACUCAGUACAAAUUAAUCAUAUUUGGUCAGAAAUCACAAAAAAUUUCUCUCUUUUUUUGGGGGUGUUUACAGCAUUGGAAAGAAACAAAAAAAAUCAAAAUUACUUGAUCAUUAAUUAUUAAAUGUAAUGUUAAUACAUCAUUUUUCCUUCACAGCUCCCAUAGAUUAUCCUUUAUGUAGUAUGAAAGAAAUAUUAAUGUAAAAAAAAAACAGGCCAUAUCAUUUGCACAGUUGAUAUUAUGUGAGGACAUUUUUUGUUAGAUGAAAAACUUGUAAGGUUACAUGAAUGAGAGACCAAAGAUUCAUUGAGCAAUUGUGAACUUCUUUUCACUACGGCAAAUGGCACAAAGCUUGGAGAUCGAGACCAACCGAUUUUAUAUCAUACCUUAUUUUCAAUCCACUUUUUUCUAUUUGAAAACCAUGUGAUCUGCCUUCUUUUUUCAUUUCAACCUGUGAUUGUGGAGAAAAACUUACCUAUAUCAGGAAUGCCACUGUGGCACUAUCCCGAGUCAAUCACUUAUUAUCAUGUAUUUUAACUUUCUGAUAUAACAAUGCAACUUUUCAAGUGGUCCAUCUUUUUCUUUUUUUUUAAUAUGGAAAAGGUAAAAACUGGCAUAUACUAUAAAUUUAUCAUUUUUUAAUAUGGAAUGUUAUUGAUUGAUCUCAUCUUUUUUCUUUUUUCCCGAAAUUUUACAGAUUGAAACCCUUUAUGUAAACGCGUUAUCUUAUAUAUAUCUUUUGAUUCCUCGGUUUAUGUUGAACGAGUGCAUAAUUUGAUUUGAUGGGAUCUUGGAUACUCAAUUUCUACAUUUUUAAGGUUCUUGCAAAUUUGUGGAAACUGCAUGGGAGGUUUCUUUGUCCAUACAUUUUUGGUAUUUCACUUUAAUUGCGUUUUGGAUAAUCAAAAUUUGUAAAUCAGUACCUAGACUGGGGCUGAAAUUGAAGUUUAGAGAUUUACACAACAUACGGUUUCAUCUAUUAUUUUCUAUCAAUCCAAACACGCGGCUAUGCACAUUUACAUUUACAUUUACUUUCCAAUUUAGAUAUCUAGAAUUCAAUAACACACAAACACACACAUUCUCUUCUCAGUACUACUACUAUAAAUACCUCUUACUGUACAUCGUUAUCAUAUACCAAUUCAAAAUUCUCUUUAAUUUCCUCAACCAUGGGUAUGUGCACUUUUUGCUGUUGCUCCAUCAUCCUUGUGGCCCUAGUUUUUGCCCUAGGCAUCACUGGUUUUGUGUCCUGGAUCAUAGCUGGCUUUGUUCGUGUUUCUCAUUUGAAACGCAUCAACUACCAAGUGACCGAUGCCUCACUUCUCCAAUUCAACGUGACAAACAAUAACACCACCCUCGAAUACAAUCUAGCCCUCAACAUAACCCUUCAAAACCCUAACGACAAGAUUGGUCUCCACUUUGACCGAAUCGAAGCCAGUGCCAUUUUCAUGAAGCAAACCCUAAAUAAUGUUAGCUUGAGCUCCUCCUCCUACCUAGGGCACAAGAAGACGGUUUUAUUACCAGCAUUGUUCAAGGGGCAGCGACAAGUGGCUCUCAGGGCUGAUGAGGUCUCCAACUUUAAGAAUGCUGGGGAUUUUGAUAUCAUGUUGAACCUGGAUGUUAAGUACUGGGUCAAGUUUCUUGCAUCGAAGGUUAAAAUUAAGCAACCCCAUAUAGCAUGCUCUUUGAAGGUCCCUCUAAACAACGGGAAACCUGCCGAAGGUUUUAAGGUUACGCAAUGCAAAGUUCAAUCAUCGGACAAAUAAUAAGUUAACUUAUUGCUUAUUAUUCUCUCCUUCUCUAAUUUAUGACUAUAAUAAUUGGCCACGCAUGAUAAUGCGAUUGGCUUAAGUUAUGUAUAAGCUGAAUUAUUAUGUUUAUGUUGCUCAAAUUAAUAAAUAAUUUCUUUGUGUGUUCAUAUAAUUAGUGUAUAAAUUUUUUUUUUUUGAGAAAUUCUAAAAUUACAUUUAUAAUUCAGCUAAAAUGAGAUUUUUAUUAAUUAUAGUACAUGACAAAAAUACAACAAAGUAAGCUACCUUAUAACUUGUAAAUCAAGCAUCUGAGGAUGUGUACAUAAUCUGCAAUAUAACUUGUGGAUGGUAUGGCAUAUGAAUCACGGGUGGGUCCAAAUAUAUGAUUGAUUGUGCACGUAGGAUGGCUAUCCCUGUACAUAUGGCAACUACUCAAUUGUAAAAGGAUAUAUAUAUACUAGCCUCUCUACACGCGCUUCCGCGCUUGCGAGAGGUUUUUUUAAAAAAAUAAGUAAAUUUAUUUUAGAAUUAAAAAAGAUAAUGGGUAGUUGUGUUCCAUAAAAAUAGGAUCCAUUAUCUGCUUUUUCUUUUUCUUUUAAUUUUUUUAAAUAUGAAAAAGUGUGAAUUUACCAUAUUAUCCUCAUUUAAUUAAUAAUUUGAAUUCUUAAUGUUUGCAUUAAACAAGGGCAUUUUCUGGUAUUUUGAAUGUUUCACCAUUCUCUGCCUUUUGCUUUAUAUAUAUAGAUAUAUAUAUAUUCUUUUCAAGAAAAUAAAAGAAACUGGGGCCAAUAUGUUUGGUAUUUAUGUUGACUAGUUCAUAAUAAACAACGGUCACGGUUUUAUCUCUUGAUAUCAAAGUUGGAUGUUGCCGACAUGUCGUCCACAACAUACAUACACACAACACAAAAAAGGAACAAAAAAAUCCCAGGAAGAGCCACACGUCCAUAUUAUUAUUUGCUCUACACGUGGUAUUUCUCAAUAUUCACGUUGGAUAAUUUGAAUGUUCAUGCUCCAUUCGUCGGUGAUCUUAGUCUUUAACAACACUUUCAUCUAUUUGUUAUGAUAGGAGGUAAGGAGAGGUAAGGGUUGUUACUAUUCAUGUGAACAGUAGUAGUUCUUACAAAAGGCUGCUUGUGUUUCCACCAAUUGCUAUGGCAAUCCAAGGACAAUCACUAUUAAUAUGAGAUAUGAAGAAAUAAAUUUGUACAGAAUUUUGGUAUAAUAAUUAGAUUUGAAAUAUCACCUAAUAACUUGAUAGUCACACUAAAAAAAAAUUCUAUAAAUUGAUAUACCAUGUACGGUCCCUCAUUAUGAUUAACAUAGUCUCUCUUGUAGAGUCUCUUUUUUAAGCCCAAAAUCUCUAUAGAGUUUUUUUUUUAUCUAAUUUAAAAUAUUUAAUAUAACUAAUUCGAGCCUAUUUAUAAUAUUGUUUUACUCAUAAACUCUUCACGUAAGAUAAAUUUAACUUAUUCUAUUUUAAAAUCCUGAGUCCGUGACAAAGAGACUGAAGUUUGUAUCCAUAUAAAUGAUCCUUAUAACAUGCAUCAUUGAUUUGAUAAUUUGCACAUGAAUGAGUGAAAUGAAAUAGUGAAAGAAGAAGGGAAACCGAGGAGGCUGCAUUAUGAACCUAACUCUACUCACACGAAUAAUCUGAAUGUCAGAAUGUCCACACACUGGUUCCAAUCGGAUGGCGAUGGAACCUGUGGGGACCACAUAUGUACUCAUCUGACCGACACGUCAGAGUAAAAAAAAUCAAAAGGAGGGGGCAGUGGGCCUUUUUGAUGAAAAAGAUUUGAAAUCAGAAUCAAUGGUCCCCCAAGGCCCCAAACUCUCCACACCCUCAACCUCAAUCCUCAAACAAGUCAAGUCAUUGCCCCAACCCAACCCAACCCAUGUCACACAAAACCCACGUCUAUCUCACACGUGUCAUUAAUUAAUUGAAAAUGGCAUUUUUCUUUUAUAUAUAUAUAUAUAUAUAUAUAUUUUUUUUUUUUUCUUCCUAUUUUCAUAAUGCAUAUCCAACAUACAAUACAAACCACUGGAAUUUUGGCAUAUGCAUAUUUUCUCUGCUCGAAAUUCAACCCUUCUAGUCACAAACAUGGAAAAAGUCCUCCGGUACAAAAGUUGUGCACCCAUCAUGGUGAUGUGGUACAAAGUUUUUCUAUGCCCAUCAUGCUAUGGUGUGGCGACAAAGAUUUUUCUUUAUUUAUUUAUUUAUUUGUCUUUUUGUAUGCGUUUUCGUGCUUGCACGAGUUUUUUUUUUUUUUUUUUUUAAUUUAAGUUUAUUUUAGAAUUAAAAAAGAUAAUGGGUAGUUGUGUUCCAUAAAAAUAGAAUACAUUAUUUAAAUUUUCUUUUAAUUUUAAUUUUUUUAAUAUGAAAAAAUAUGAAUUUACCAUAUUAUCCUCAUUUAAUUAAUAAUAUCAAUUUUUAAUGUUUGCAUUAACCAAGGGCAUUUUAUGGUAUUUUGAAUAUUUUACCAUUCUCUACCUUUUGCUUUAUAUAUACUAGCCUCUCUGCACGCGCUUCCGCGCAUGCAAGAGGUUUUUUCAAAAAAAAUUUUAAAUUUAUUUUAGAAUUAAAAAAGAUAAUGGAUAUUUGUGUUCUAUAAAAAUAGGAUCCAUUAUCUGAAUUUUCUUUUAAUUUUAAUUUUUUUAAUACGAAAAAUUGUGAAUUUACCAUAUUAUCCUCAUUUAAUUAAUAAUUUCAAUUCUUAAUGUUUGCAUUAACCAAGGGCAUUUUCUGGUAUUUUGAAUGUUUCACCAUUCUCUGCCUUUUGCUUUAUAUAUAUAGAUAUAUAUAUAUAUAUAUAUAUAUUCAAAAUCCUUACCACCAAUAAACAUAAAUUAACACUAGCCCUCACGUAUGUGCCAAUUGGUUUUCUUUUUUCUUUUAUCUUUUAUUUUUAGUAUUAAGAAAAGAUAACAUGGGUAGUUAUGUUCCAUAAAAGUAGGACUUAUUAUCUGAUUUUGUUUUUUUUUAAAAUUUUUUUUAGUAUGAAAAAAAAAUGUGGGUUUACCAUAUUAUCCUCCUUUAAUUAAUAAUUUUAAUUAUUAAUGUUUGAAUUAACCAAGGGCAUUUUCUGGUAUUUUGAAUGUUUCACCAUUCUCUGCCUUUUGCUUUAUAUAUACUAGCCUCUCUGCACGCGCUUCUGCGCUUGCGAGAGGUUUUUUUAAAAAAAUAAGUAAAUUUAUUUUAGAAUUAAAAAAGAUAAUGGGUAGUUGUGUUCCAUAAAAAUAGGAUCCAUUAUCUGCCUUUUCUUUUUCUUUUAAUUUUUUUAAAUAUAAAAAAGUGUGAAUUUACCAUAUUAUCCUCAUUUAAUUAAUAAUUUGAAUUCUUAAUGUUUGCAUUAACCAAGGGCAUUUUCUGGUAUUUUGAAUGUUUCACCAUUCUCUGCCUUUUGUUUUAUAUAUAUAGAUAGAUGGGUAGUUAAUUAUGUUCCAUAAAAGUAUGACUUAUUAUCUGAUUUUUUUAAAAUUUUUUUAAUAUGAAAAAAAAAAUAUGGGUUUACCAUAUUAUCCUCAUUUAAUUAAUAAUUUCAAUUCUUAAUGUUUGAAUUAACAAAGGGCAUUUUCUGAUAUUUUGAAUGUUUCACUAUUCUUUACCAUUUGCUUUAUAUAUAUAUAUAUAUAUAUAUUUACUCAUAGGUCUACUAAAAAACUAACUAUUUUAAACAAAAUUUAGAGAACAAACAUGUUCUAGGAGGUAGUGGUGGAGUUGAAUUGUGGUAUAUAUAGACCUUUUAUAUUGACUAUCAUUAAUUUCAAAUUCAAACUACACUAAUUACGGAGUUAGACUCCAUAUAUCAAAGGCGAAUAGUUGAAAAAUAUGUGAAUUUACACAUCGAUGUAAAUAGGAAAAAUGAGAACGGGUCGUAGUUUUUAAUGAGCAGACCAUAAUGUAAAGUCAACCUACACCAUGUAAUAUUCUAAUACAUAAUUAAACUAAUGAACGUUGAUAAAUAAAUAAAAGUAAACUAAUGAACCCAUCUAAGUACAAGUAAAUUCUACCUAACAAAUAUGAAAAAAAAAAAAAACUCGAGUGUCAAAGCAAAGAAAAACAUGACAAUUUAUAGUGGCCGCCCCUCCUUAUCAAGCUGAAAAGAUUGGCAUUAAAAACGAAAAUGGACACUUUUGAGUUCAUGCAAAUUUGGAGAAAUAUCUACAUCCACAUCAGAUACACAAAUACUCCAACUGACUUUAUAAUAAAUAAAUAAAUUGUCUCCCUCAUUCAUUAAUUUAAUAAUUAUAACGAAAUUAAAAGAUUGAAUGGAUAAAAAAGGAUUGUCCUAACUCCUAACUUCCUUCCUAACUCUCAAGCAAUGAGCACGAGGCAGAAAAAGCUGACCGGCUUUCAACCCAAAGCCAAAAUCGAGCCGAGCCGAGCCGAACACGUUUUGUCGCUAUACGAUUUCUCGACCAAGAAUGUCCAAAUCGGCUGAUGCCACGACCGCAGCGAGCAAACCUUUGUUUUUGUGCUCUCCACGUGGCGCUUCUCCAUUGGCCAUAUCACUUUCUGCUUUUGGAAGAAAAAGAAAAUGAAAAAUUUGCUCUCAACUUUUAAACUUUAAACCCUCCGUCGGAACAGACUCCCGGAAUUUUAUCUUUCAUCGGAGCGCCUCUGUUUCCUCUUCAGUGGGUAGAGAGAGAAAAAAGCGCGAUUUCUAGAGAGAGAAAGAAAGCGAGCUCAGAGGCACAGAGAGAGGCUCGUGCUUUCUAGGGUUAGGUUUCCUUUUCUAUGUAGAAGUUUAAAAAGAAAAAGAAAAAGAAGCUCCGAGCUUAAUUAGACGUUAAAGGCAGCGAUUCUAGCUUUAUUGUUAUUCAUUAUUAUUAAAUUUAUUUUAUUGGAUGAAUUUUCUCGGGAGAAUUUAGCGUCGACUGUAAGUUGCUUUUGUGUUGUGUUUAUCUGGUUUCCUUGGCUGUAAAUUCCUUUUAUAAGCCGACGAGGCUUCCAGCUCAAGCAAAGUUGUUCAUACAAGUUUGACAAGAGAGUUCAUUUUCGCAAUUUAUAUUCGGAAACAAAAAGAAAAGCCUUGCCAUCGGUCAGAAAAUUGACUCCUUUUCUUUCCAACAAUUUUACUUUUUUCUUUCCUUUUAUACUAUAAAUUCGUGAAGUAGUGCUGGUGGAAGUAGAAGAAUCUUCUCUGAAUGUUUAGUCUGGAUAAGAAAGCUUCAGUCUUUAUAGGAAUUGGGUUUUUCUGUGAUGGUGGUUUGAGGGAUGCUAUGGAAAUUGAAGCAAAUGUUCACUGAAGCUUGAUGAAGAGCCUGAGUAUCGGAUUGGGAUAAUGUCAAUUGUGUGAUUAAGCAUCGUGGAAAGGAAGGGGUUGAAAUGAGGAAUUCGGGUAUCAUUUGAGAGUUUCAGCAUGAAUUGCAGCGUGAACAACGGAGGAAGAGGAGAGAGGGCACAUGAGCAAACGGUUUUGCGAAGGUCGGUGGAGGUUGAACCGAUAUUGGUCCCGCAGCAGCUGACGAUCGAUGAGAACUUGCUGGUUGACCCGAAUUUGUUGUUUAUCGGGUCGAAAAUCGGGGAAGGAGCACAUGGGAAAGUUUAUGAAGGAAGGUCAGUCUCAAUUCCUUGUCAGUCAACUAUUUAUGCUCAACUUAGUUGCUCUUUGCUUGCUUGGUGUGAUUAAGUAAAGAAUGUAUUUUUAAUUCGUUGUAUACUGUAUGGAUUAUUUUCAUGUAACAUUUGUUCUGGUAAGGAUAUGCUUGUACGGUUCUGUAGGAACACAUUUCAAUUCUGUACUUGGAUGAAUAGGAGGAGGAAUCUUUAUUAUUAGCUGAUAAGUGGUUUUUGUUUGUAAACUAGAAGGAGUUACUAGUUGGUUGCCAUUACAUGAACUGUGCCAUUUUGUUAUUGCACGGAGUGUUUAUGAGUAGUUUGUCUGUUGUCGAGUGUACUGUGUACUAGUUAUGUACGUCUAGUCUAAUGAUUUUCCAGGUACCGUGAUCGAAUUGUUGCUAUCAAAGUCCUCCAUCGUGGGAGUACUUCUGAAGAAAGAGCUGCACUUGAGAGUCGUUUUGCUCGUGAAGUUAAUAUGAUGUCUAGGGUAAAACAUGAAAAUCUUGUCAAGGUAAGUGCUGUGAUUAAAGAUGUACUCUCUAGUUCUUUUUAUUUAAGACAUUUGAAAUGGAAGUUUUAUAAAUGUAUUCAUGCCUGCUCUGCUUGAACUGUUGCAGGCCUUUGGCUUUCAAAUUAAUAAUUUUACUGGAUUCUGUAAUUUUUUUUUUUUUGGUCUCUACAGUUUAUUGGAGCUUGCAAGGAUCCUCUAAUGGUGAUAGUUACUGAGCUAUUACCCGGGAUGUCACUCCGGAAGUACCUGAUGAGUAUUCGUCCAAAUCCAUUGGAACUCCAUGUGGCAAUUAAAUUUGCUCUUGAUAUCGCUCAUGCAAUGGAAUGUUUACAUGCCAAUGGGAUUAUCCAUAGAGAUCUGAAACCUGGUAACAUUUUGAGCAGUACUUAACUACUGUAUUUGGUACUGCUGGAUAAUGACAAUAGAAGAGGGCUUGUUAAUGCUUAAUGAAUUUAUUGACAUUUUUUUCAAAAUUAACAUUUGAUGAAAACUCCAAUACUUAAAAAGGGAAUAAUGUGCUCUAAUUGUGUAUCUCUGUUCAAAGUUCUGUUAAAUAAUUAGUGGAAAUUGCAGCAGUGCUUGAGCCAGAAGUUUCCGUUGUUUGCUGUUAUUUGUAUGUUGUAUUCUGCUCUUGCUAAGCUGUGCUUAUCUAGUAGGCUGCAGACAUGGCUUAAAGUUCUCUCCAAGUGGAAUUAUUCUUUCUGUUGGACUCUGCACUUAGUUCACAAGAUUGCUUUCAUGUGAUCAGUUUAUACUAUCCUAGGACCAACAUUUUGAUAUAAAAAAUGGUAAAAGAAGGCAGCUUCACUUGCAAAACAAGGCUGUACUUUUUGUCUUAGGUGUUUGUCCAUUUAUUUUUCAGUUGGGGCCUGUGGUGGUGUUUUUUUCAUUUAAUCUUUACUCUGAAAAUUAUUAGGUUUCGCUCUUUAACAAUACAUAUGAUGUCUAUUGCAGACAAUUUAUUGCUUACGGAAAAUCAGAAACAUGUAAAGCUUGCGGAUUUUGGUCUUGCAAGAGAAGAAAGCGUUACAGAGAUGAUGACAGCAGAAACUGGGACUUACCGUUGGAUGGCUCCAGAGGUUUGUCAACAUGUUUAAUUAUUUUCAGUCUUUCAGCUAUCUGGGGUCUUUUGAUGUUCUUGAAAUUGGAAGUAGUACAUCUUUUUAUUUUGGAAAAGUUUCAUGGUUGUUUGAGUUGACUGCAGAACGACAAGCUAUUACUCUCUUUCUGGCUUUUGAAUGAAUUCUGUAUCUAUGAUAGAUAGAAUUGGAGAUGAUGUAUGAGGGGGUUGAACUGGUUACUAUAAACCCCAAGUAAUGUUAAAACACUAAUUGGGUGCCAAUCUUGAAGCCUUAUGCACUAAUUUGGGUUACUUUGGUUGGUUUUUGUUUCUGAAUGUGCUUGAAAGUUUAUUUGAUCUGCUUCUAACGUAUUUUACUAUUCCUGCACAAUUGUUAGUUCCCUUUGACCAACUAUUAGCAUUUGCAGCUGUAUAGCACUGUGACCUUACGUCAGGGAGAGAAGAAGCAUUACAAUAACAAGGUUGAUGUAUAUAGCUUUGGGAUCGUCUUAUGGGAAUUAUUGACCAACCGCAUGCCCUUUGAAGGCAUGUCCAAUUUGCAGGCUGCUUAUGCUGCUGCUUUCAAGGUGCAACAACUAAAUCUGUUAUUGCUGUUAAUACAUUUGGCUAUUAUGCGCAGUCUGAUAUAAGAAACAAUACCUCUAUUUAUGUUGCUUACUCUUAUAUUGUUAUCCGAGAAUGCAGCAAGAGAGGCCUCGACUUCCGGAGGAUAUAUCCCCUGAUCUUGCCUUUGUCAUCCAGUCAUGCUGGGUUGAAGACCCUAAUUUAAGGCCUACCUUCAGCCAGAUCAUCCGCAUGCUCAACUCAUUCCUCUUCAAACUCUCACCACCCUCACCGCCUAUACCAGAUACUGACACCAACGAAGCAGCAGCAAGUAAUGGUACCAUGAGUGAAUUAUCUGUUCGGACAAGAGGGAAGUUUGCUUUCCUUAGGCAACUGUUCAAUGCUAAGAGGACCAAGAACUCACAAUGAGCAGUCAAAUUUUUUUGGAAACCAUCAAUUUGUUCGAACUGGGGGAACAGUCUUGCGAUAGUGGAUACAAUUUUUAGCGAAUUUAUGAUUGAUUACCUUAAAAGAUGAUGGUGAAUGCAAAGGAUGAGAAAAUGCUGGAAAAAAAAUGGUGCUGAUGGGGUAACUCAUCAGGAAAAUAAAUAGAUAAAUUGAGGAUGGUUCUCAUUGUGUAGGUGACCUAUUGUAAAGGAGAGAUACAUGGUUUUGGACAAUUUUCUGUUCUUAUUAAUGGAACCUUCCCUUUUUUAGCAAAAUCAUUUUCAGUAUUUGGAUUUCUAGGUGAUGAAGUAUCUGAAUCCAGCCAAAGUAUUUUGUCUUUGCUUUGCAUCUGAAUUCUGAUCAAGAUUUUCAAUAAUGGGUAAAAUAGUCAUAACAGAACUUAUAACCAUACGUCGUCGUUUUGAGUACAUAAUUUCAAUCCAAUAUAUAUUGAUGAUCCAAAUGAGCCAUCAAGUUCAGAGCUUUCGGAAUGGAAUAUGUUGAGUGCGACUCUCGCCGUUUCCCACCUACUUUCCAAGCUUCUUCAGCUUCCGCAACUCUCUUCCAUGAAACAAGUCGAAGCAGCCCAUGGUUUCCUCACGAAAACAGGUCUCUUCUUUACUCACACAUCCAUCGUCGCAAAGCUCGUUGCUUUCGCAUCACUGUCACCGCUAGGCUGCCUCGUGCACGCUCAAGCCCUGUUCGAAGAGACCACCAUGGACGACCCCUUCACCUGCAACACCAUGAUCAGGGCUUACACCAACAGCGUCUUCCCCAUCAAAGCUAUACAUAUUUACAACCAUAUGCAGGAAACGAAUGUUAGGUCUGAUCAUUUCACAUACAAUUUUGCGCUCAAGGCUUGUGCUAGAGUGAUGAAACGUAUGGAAGAAGAUGAGGUGAAAGAUUGUGGCUUUGUUAUUGAUCGUAAGGGAAGUGAAAUUCAUUGCCGAGUUUUGAAGUUGGGCUUUGAUCGUGAUUUGUAUGUUCAGAAUUCGUUGAUUUUUGUGUAUUCUCAGUGUGGGUCUGUGGAACUUGCCCGCUGUGUUUUCGACGAAAUGACUGACAGAAGUGCUUCUUCUUGGAACAUCAUGUUAACAGCUUAUGAUCAGGUUGCCGAUUUCGAAUCCGCGGAUUAUCUGUUUCAGUCAAUGCCUGAGAAGAAUGUAGUUUCCUGGAAUACUUUAUUAGCAAGGCAUGUUAGGUUGAGCAACAUUGAGGCUGCAAAAAUAGUCUUCCGAGAGAUGCCUGUGAGGAAUUCGGUUUCUUGGAAUUCGAUGAUUGCUGGCUAUGUUCAGGUUAGAGAUUAUGAUGGAGCAUUGAAGCUCUUCCGUGAAAUGCAAAUUGCUGAGGUGGAAGCUACUGAAGUUACGCUUAUAUCUAUCUUGGGUGCUUGUGCUGAAACUGGUGCAUUGGAGAUUGGGAGGAAGAUUCAUGAGUCCUUGAACCUACAGCACCAUAAGAUUGAAGGGUAUUUGGGUGUUGCCCUUGUAGAUAUGUAUUCUAAAUGUGGGAAAUUGAGUUCAGCUUGGGAAGUGUUUGGUGAGCUGAAAAUGAAACCUGUUGGCUGCUGGAAUGCCAUGAUUGUGGGUUUGGGCGUCCAUGGUUACUGCAAUGAGGCUUUGGAAUUGUUUGCGGCUAUGGAAAGGCAGCUUGGUGAAGUUACACCAAACCGGAUUACGUUUAUUGGUGUUUUAAUUGCUUGUAGCCGUAAGGGUUUGGUGGAAGAAGGACGCCGGUAUUUCAAUCAGAUGGUUCAAGAAUACAAGAUUGUGCCUGAUGAGAAGCAUUAUGGUUGCAUGGUUGAUCUUCUCAGCAGAUGGGGAUUGUUAGACGAAGCGUUCGAGAUGAUCAAAGCUGUGCCCUCCGGGCCAAGCUCUUUGUUGUGGAGAACCUUGUUGGGUGCUUGUAGGGUACAUGGAAACGUAGAAUUGGCAGAGCAAAGCUUCCAGCAGCUUGCCAAAUUGGAGCCUCUAAGGGAUGCAGAUUAUGUUUUGUUGUCAAACAUCUAUGCUGAAGCAGAGAGAUGGGAUGAUGUUGAGCGAUUGAGGAAUGAGAUGAUUUGUAAGGAAGUCCCAAAAACGCUCGGCUUCAGCCAUGUUGACAUGAAAUAAUGGAAGCCAUUCACUUGGUAUGUAUGUCAAUUAUGGAUAAUUUGUCAGCAAAACAAAACAAAACAAAAUUGUAACAGAUGUAAUUUUACCAAUAAAAAAAUGCCGUUAGUAAUAUAUUACUCAACUAUCAUCCUCAUUGAUGCGUGCAUAUUGGGGCUGGAACUUUAGUUUUCCUUGAGACACUGAUAGAUGGCAAGCUUGAAGUUGCUACUCAAUGGUGGUCCAAGGACCACCUGAUUAUUUCCCUUGAAAAUUUGACCUUGUCAUAGCAAGUGUCAGGUCUUCAUGUCUUCAUGUGGCUGCCCUAGCAGGCAAUGGUGCUCUGCCUCUGCCUGCACAUUGUGCGUGCGUGUUGGCGUGUGACCUUGGGGUCUUGAAAAGACUGAUGAGAAUAAUGAUGCUUGAUCAAUAUCAACUCUUACUCUUUCAUUAAAAAAAAAAAAAAAAAUCAACCCUUACCCUGGUCUGAAGGGUGUCAUAGAUGUCACUAUCUAAUUUACUUUUGUGGCCGUAGACAAAGGUUCCACUUGUAAAAGGGUAAUUUGAGGUUUCCCCACUGCAAAGUGCAUGGCUCUUUUGUUUGCUUUUUAUGGGUAAGAUUUGCUGAAUACAAAGAGAUCUCAAAUCCCGGAUCUCAAAAUUCUGUACAUGCAUACCAUUUGAGGUAGGCAGUAAAGUCAGCUAUUUGGAUAGGUCUUGAACUUAGCUGCACUUAUCUAUUUGAUUGAAAGCAUUUCCUUUAUAUGGAAGAAACAAAUGCAGCUUUUUCCAAGGAAAAUACUAGAACCCAAAGUAGACCUUUGUCUUUUUGAGUUAGGGGAAGGCUUGCAAGUGUCAAAUAGCUUAGCCUUUUUUAGAUGUGCACACAGUGCAAAGCCAUACUAUUUUGUUUUUAUUUACCCAAAAUUACUAGUUUUUGGCCUAAUUCAGAUAACCCAGAUUCUGAGUAUCAGUUUAGUUGGCAACGGCAACUUUUUAGUUUGAAUUGUAUCCGACAUUUUUGAGUCGUGGAGAGAUUUUCGUGAGGAGGACGCCGAGGAAAGGGGAAAAUAAAAAAGUUGAAACCAAUAGUUGAGCUCCAAUCCCAUAGGUCUCUGUCCCAUCUGACCAAAUCAAAGUCUAACACGACUGUUUUGCCGACUUUCUCAGAACCGUCUGAUCAAAUCAGAGAUGCACGUGUCAAAGCAAACGUUAAGGUCGAGGAAAAUGCACUCACACAUUUAUGUGAGAAAACAAAUACUUGAAGUCAAUGCCCUCUGUUGUUAACUCGUAAAGUGGUAGAAAGUACACGGUAGAGAGCAAAAUUUACAGAGAGAAUUGUGGAGAGACACACAGAAAGAGAAUGAAAAAUUGGAUAAUUUUUCCAUGGAUUUGAGAUCUAGAGGAGGAGAUAGAGCUUCAGCUUCGUGAAUAUAUCAAUUUAAAGAUUUUUCGUAGUCAACUUAGAAGAACAGAGAGAGAGAGAGAGAGAGAGAGAGAAGAGUCUGCUGAAGAACCAGUCUUGAGCUUCCUUGGGAAAAUGGUUGAACAGAGAAAUCUUCAAAAACCCAAUACUCAAAACGUUAUGAUUAUCCAAUUGCUCGUGGGUUUCCGGGAAAGUUUCCAGCUUGGUUCUUCUAAUUGAGCUCAACAACCCGAAUAGGGAACUGGGUUUUGGAUUUGGGUCAGUUUUCCUAGCUGUCUCUGCUUCUGAUCAGAGAAAAGUGAGGUGUUCCACAGUAUUCUGAUGAGAAAUGGGAGAAAAUGCAGCAGCUUUGCAUACAGCUGUGAACUCCGUACAGGCAUUAGGAAGAGGCUUCGACGUGAACUUCGAUACAAGGUUGCUCUACUGUAAGGGAGUGGCAGGGUCUAGGAUACUAGAGCUUGAUGAGGAGCACACUAGGGAUCUCUGCCUUUAUGAUGAUAUAAUUGUGCCAAAUGUUUCUAGGGACAUCAAGCAGUCUGAGGAAUCCAUGGGGCGUCAGAGUUCUGGAGUCUGCAGCUUCCAUGAGGUAUGCUUAUUAGCUUAUGUUAGCCUUUUGUUAUUGUACUUUCUUUGAGGGUUUAGUGGAUGUCUGCAUGUUGUAGGUGCAUUAAGGUUUGGGGUUAGGAGUUUGUGAAUUAAGUUUAGAUUGCAAACAGCUUACUAUGCUGAGAUUGUGGUGAAAGUGGAUAAGUGUUGAACUAAUGAGAUUGAUGUUCAUUGAGAAAUAUGUCAUGAAAUUGAAUAAUCAGCAAUGAAGAGUUGCAGCAAACUAAUUGAAACUUCUUAGGUUUUUUUUUAUAAAAAUUAUCGGACCCAUUUAAUUUGAAGGAGUGGAAAUUAUUCAGCUCCGAAUGCCUCCACCUCUGUGUUUUGUGUUCUUCCUUGUUUCAUAUGUGAUGGACAUGUUUUUAUAACCUUGCGCCCAUAAUAGAUAAAACAUUGUCUACUUCCUUUUGAAAAUGUAUUGAACUAGAAAAUGUUCAAGCACCGCUUGUUAGGUACUUGUUUGAGCUAGUUUACCAGCCAAACUCAGGAUCAAAUUCUAAGUUUAAUUAGGAAAAUAAAGCUUGCACAAGAGUAGCAUCUUUGAUUGUUUGAGUGGUAUUGAGGCAUUCGUGAUUAUGAUCAAGAACAUUUGUGGUCCGUUGCAUUUUUUAAGAGGCUGUGACUGCCUAUAAAUCCGUGUGUGUAUAAAGAGAGAGGGAGAACCCCUCUUAAAAGAAUUGAUUAGCUUAAAGCAUAAUGUAGAGAACGAACAGCAUAAUACUUUCAAUGCAUGAAGUUAUUUAAUAUAUUCCUCAUGGCGAAUGAUUGCAGAUGGUUGAGUAUUUUAAUCAAAAGUCUAAUGCAUCUGGAGGCUUUCCUCUUGGGAGUUUCAACUUUGCAUUUAGCUUCACUGGUUCAAAGCACAUUGAUGCUGCAGCCACGAAGACCCUUUCUGUGGAUGGAUUUUAUAUUCCACUUGCUAAGGUCCAGCUUUUCAAAACACCACUAGUGUUGCAAGAAAAUGUGAAAGAGGCUGUCCCGACUAAUUGGGAUCCAACAUCUUUGGCAAGGUAUGAAUAGUUAGAUCUUUAGUGAAAAAAUAGUGAAAAAAUAGUUUUAAAUGCUCCCUAAUUGUUGGCUACUCUUUCUUGACAGCUUUAUUGAAAAUUUUGGGACCCAUGUCAUCACAUCUGUAACAAUUGGUGGAAAAGAUGUAAUUUAUGUCAAACAACACCAGUCAUCUCCUUUGUCUACAAUGGAGAUCAAAAACUAUGUCCAGGAUAUUGGAACUCAGAGGUUCUCAGACACAGAAAGCAAUAGAAGUUCAGGUCAAAUGAAAUUCAAUGAUAAGGCUAGUUCUGCUUUGUUUCUUUUCCUUGUCAUUAUUUAAUAUAGCUUCCUUUUUUUAAAAAACUUGAAAUCUAAUUUCUAAUUAUCAUUUUUUUAAAAUAUAUGUUUCAGGGUGUUGAUUCUGGUUUAUAUAACAGUCAAGGGAUAUACCCUCAGCCCACUACUGCACCAUAUCUUGCUGGGAAAGAAGUAUGUUACAAGUAUUUAUCAUUUGUAUAUGUAUUGCACUUAAUGAUUUUUGUUUAUUCAUUUAUUUUUUCUUCUUUGAACGUUUAAUUUCAUUUUCCCAAGUUGUGAUACUUACUAUAUGUGAUUUCUCAUUACCUUGGAUCAGGAUGUCACAGUCAUUUUCAGAAGAAGGGGAGGGGACGAUCUGGAGCAAAACCACACCCGAUGGGCAAGAACUGUCCGGUCCUCUCCAGAUGUAAUCGAGAUGACAUUUUUCCCGAUAACAGCUCUCCUAGAAGGGGUAACUGGAAAGGAACACCUUACUCGAGCGAUUGGUCUUUAUCUUGAAUGUAAGACAACUGAAUCCUUGUAGAUGGAUUAUAGUUUUUUUUUUUUUUCCUGUAAUGUGCUCUAUUAUUAGCCAUAAGGUAAUUCUGCUAACUGUUUUGAAAUUCUUCUUGCAGAUAAGCCUCCAAUAGAAGAGCUGAGAUAUUUCCUAGAGUUUCAAAUUUCUCGAAUAUGGGCUCCUGUAUAUGACAGGAAUCUGGGCCCCCAAAGAAAAGAACCUGUUUGUCCAUCCUUGCAAUUCAGCAUAAUGGGGCAAAAACUUUAUGUCAGCCAAGAACAGGUAAGGAGUUUUUCUAGUAAUCAAUCUCUCCUCACUAAGAACAGGCAAGGACUUUUUUUAGCAACUUAAUUGUCAUGAUAAAAACAUAAAUGCUUAUAAUUUAAUUCCUCAAAUGUAAAACACAAUAGUCAUGUCCUUGAGAUGUCUAAAUAGCCCUUAAGAAACUGAUGAAGGAUACUUAACUAGAUGACCCAUUUGUUAAUUUCGUGAUCUCUCGUUCUGAGUUUGAUUCGUGAUUUAAUGACAUAGUGAUAGUCCGUCCAAAUUACAAAUUGUCGUAGGUGAUUUCAUCUUAAUCCUUUUCAACAAAAUUUUGCUACACACAGGUAACUGUUGGACGGAAGCCAGUGACAGGCGUACAGUUAUGUCUAGAAGGAAGCAAGCAGAAUCGACUUUGUAUCCAUCUUCAACACUUAGCAUCUCUUCCAAAGAUCCUUUUACCAUAUUGGGACACCCAUGUCGCAAUUGGUGCUCCGAAGUGGCAAGGACCCGAGGAGCAAGAUAGCCGAUGGUUCGAGCCAGUGAAAUGGAGAAACUUCUCUCAUGUGAGCACUGCACCUAUUGAGAACCCCGAGACCUUCAUAGGUGACCUCUCUGGUGUCUACAUAGUCACUGGAGCACAGCUUGGAGUGUGGGAUUUUGGAUCAAGAAAUGUCUUGUACAUGAAGCUUUUAUAUUCUAGGCUACCAGGCUGCACUAUACGAAGAUCCUUGUGGGAUCAUACCCCAAAAGAAAAGUCAAAGAAACUGACGUCCACCAGUGACUCAAGUUCAGGUUCAAGAGAAAAUGUUGCGGGAAACAAGUUGGUGAAGUUUGUGGACAUGUCCGAGAUGAGCAAGGGGCCGCAAGAUGAUCCAGGUCAUUGGUUGGUUACGGGUGGAAAGCUUGGUGUGGAGAAAGGAAAAAUUGUUUUGAGAGUGAAAUACUCGUUGCUAAAUUAUUGAGUCUAUACAUUUGCAUGAUGGAUGUGCAGUGGUGGUUUUUGUUAGGGGAAGAGGCAGUGUCUUUUGAUGUUCAUCCUGCAAUGUAACCUUUGGCUGUGUGAUGGACCGAAUGAGAAGAGGAUGUGUCUUUGGGUUGUUUUAGAGUGUGAGUAGAUACUGCCUCUUGAAAUAUGUUUGUAAGUAAAGUUUGAUAUGUUCGAGUUGAUUUGAUGAAAGAAACCAUGCUGUAGAGCACUUGUUUCCUUCAUUUCCACGGAUCAUAAUUAACUUCAUUGAUUUUACUUACAUUAUAAUUUUAUUUUACAAAAUCAAAGAUGCAAACUGCAAAGCAGUUUUAUGCAUGAUUUAUGAACAAGUCUAUGUAUAAGUCAUUCUUGUCCACAGAUUAUCUAAAAUUGACCACCUUCAAAGGUCUGUCCAAAUUUCCAACUAGCAGGCACGACAUUGGAGCUGGUGAGUGUGAGUCCAUCGCUAGCGGUGACUUUAAAGGAGAGGCUUUGGCCAUUGAGGUAGGAGUUGCUCUGCCAAUUUUGGCCCCAGUUUCUUGACAUUGGCAGCCACCCCGUUUUAGACCCCUUGAUCGAUACUGCUCUCACAUCCCCUGAACCCCCAACAUUUGUUAUCAACACCAAGUUGAAGUAUGAGUGACCAUUCAUGGUGAACCUUAUGCCUCCUUUCUUCACACAUGGAACCCUAAAACAAGAAAAUUACAACUAGGUAAGCAACACAAAUAUCUCCCUAACCAGUUACAUCUAAUUAAGUUUACGACGCGAAUUUUCAUUUCUCAGACAAUCUAGUAUGUUAUGUUGUCAGACUGUCAAUCUAAUCGUUAAUCUGAUGAGACAAAAUUUAGUAUAGUUGUAUCUCAAGAUUCAUAACUUAACAACAUAACAUGUGUACCAUCCAUGAUUUUUGGAACUAAGAUAUGUUACCUUUUGAAGAGUACGGGGACAAUUCCGGCACGAUAGGCUGCAAUGUGCAAGAAAGCAGGCUCAGCCAAAUCGAAGUGUUGAAGAGGAGGAUUGCACCACCCACCAUUGUCAUUGGACAAAGCGUUAUUAGGAGGACAGAAGUUGGUGGCUGUGAUAGUGAUGCCACCAGGGAGGCACCAUUUGGGGUCACUCUCAUGGUUGCAUCUUAAUUGAUAACAUGCCCCGCAGCUUAAACCAUUGUUGAACAGAGCAGUGCUUAGAGCUGCUGUGCUAGUUCCGUAGCCUUGGCUGUACAAGUUUCCGUAACCACAUGCCCCUCCUACAAAAUAUUAUACUCACCAAUUUAUAAAUUAUAAUAAUUCGAAAUUUGAAUAAAUGAAAAACUGUCACGAUCAUAUCACGAACAAAUUUAGUGAGUGUAGAAGUGCUCAUUUCGGAUCGUGAAACUAAUUAAACCAGUAUCAAUCAUUUUAAUUUCUAGCUUACCCAUUGUGCCAGAAGAAUCACUGCCACCAUAAAAUGUUGCAUGGGCAGUUUGCCAUUCACCACCAUAUCUGCCAAUGCCAUGUGUGGCUUGAAGACUUAGAUGGAGGAUAAGCAAGAGAAAUUGCAGGAUGUUCAUUGCUUUCAUAGCCAUUGUUUUAUUUAUCUGAUUCAAUUUGUGUGUCUGAGAGAGAGAGAGAGAGAGAGAGAGAGAGAGAGAGAGAGAGAGAGUGAAAGGGAGGCUACAUAUAUAGUAAAGGAAAAAAGAGUGAGAAAUAUUAGUCGAGCAUUGAAAUGAAUAGUUUGGUUGGGUGCCGUUGUCACGUUGAGCCGACCUGCAAUUGAACAACCAAACUAAAUGGUUUUGAUUCAAACUCGGUGACCAAUCACCAUCUGAUCAAAAUAUUAACAUAAACACAUGCAAAAUGUUAUAUGUUGGGCCCUGCUUCCUUGAUCUGGUCUUCUUUGGACCCAACUCUCCAACUCACUCGUGCUCUUAUCUCUUUUUGCAUAAUUGCUUUGACUUUUGACUUGGGAUUUAAAUUUAAAUUUUCCUUUCCUCUAAACAGACAAGCUUAUAACUAUUAAUGGCAAAUGUCAACCCAAAAACACAAAGAUUAGAUGAUAAUAUAGUUUAAUCAUGUUUUGUUUAGGGUGGGGUGGGGGUGUUUGUGAAAAGUAAGAAGAAUCACGAGAGUAAGAAGAAACAAUAAACUGACGUGUAGUGAUUGUUGGAGGGUUGAGGUCACAUGAAUAUGGAUAUGAGGGAUAGAUAAUAUAGAUUGAUUGGUUGACCUACUGGCCGUCCAACUAAGGGCUCUUGUUAGGAAGAUGAUGAUAUGUCCGGAUUGACAUGUACAUUGUAGAACUGGAAUUGAGAUAGUCGUAAAUUUCCUAAAAUUGUAAGUUUUUUUUAAAAAAAAAUUUAUUUAUCUGUGUAACUAUUUUAAUGUCUAUAAUUUUUAGAUUUUUCAAGGCUUGUAUGGUAUAGUUGAUCCCAUUGAAACUCUCUUCAUUUUUACGGAAUGUUCAAAGGAAUUUCAAUUACCUUAUUUUUAGGAAAAUUUGCAUAAAUGCCACAUGAACUUUUAAGCAUGUGCGAGAUUACCACUUGAACUUUUAAUAUUCAUUAUUAACCACCUAAAUUUUAUAAAAAUGUAGCAAUUUACCACCUACGCGUAACUCCGUUAAAAUUUCUUACCGUUCAUAAAGAAAUCAAUUAAAUAUUGCUGAAUUGUUAUUGAUUUGCAGAGUUUGGCCUCUUGUUUGUGCAGUUGGAGAGAGAGAGAGAGAGAGAGAGAGGUUGGGGGAUAAUUAAUUAGGUUGAAUUCUGUUUUUUUUUAAUUCUAAUAAAUUGAUGAAAAUGUCCUUUAAAAAAUAUCACACGUUCAACAUGUGAUUUUAUUUAAUUGUAAUUUUAGCGGAGUUACAAUAGAAAAUAUAUUGCUAUACUUUGCAAAGUUCGGGUGAUUAAUAGUAAAAAUUGGAAGUUCAAGUGGUAAUCACACAUAUAACUAAAAAUUCAGGUGACAUUUAUACAAAUUUUUCUUAUUUUUAUUCACACGAUGACAUCAUAUAUUGAAUUGUAUACAUUAUUACAUUUUGCACAUUGUCUUUACAUUUUAUUAUAGCCUGACAUACGUCGGCCAUAACGUAUAAUAUUUGUUAAUUAUGAUGAGAUGAAAGCACAUAGGAAUUAAAGCUUUCUUUAAAAGAAUGGUAAAAUGUUUGGAGAAUAAGUUUGAGCUUCCGUCAUUCAUUUUUGGCUUCGGUUUCAAGCUUUGUGUCGUUCACUUGUGUUUCAAGCUUUUCCUCGUUGAGUUUGUUGGAUAAAGCUUUUCGUUUCUUCUGAGUCUCACUUGGGAGUUUCACAUCUGUUGCCAAACCAACAAUUUCAAGAAAUCUUAUUACAUACCAAGUGACAUCAACUUCCCACCAUUCGAAGCCAUGCCGAGCUGAGUAUUGAAAAGCAUGGUGGUUAUUGUGCCAACCUUCUCCAUGUGUAAGCAAUCCAAAUACCCUAAACAUGCAAUUACAAAAUAUUAUUUGAAUACACAAAUACACACAUAUCUACAAUAUUUGAGUGCAUAAAAACUACAAUAUUACCAGUUGUUUCUAGACAUAUCACCAGUAUCCCAUACUUUCUUGCCCCAUCUAUGGCAAAUUGAAUUUAGUGCAAAAGUAGCGUGGGCAAAUAAUGCCGCCCUCACACCCUGCAAACAAAGAAAACCAAACGUCGGUUCAAGGCUGAGCUAGAAUUUUAUUCUUUUGCUCAACAAAGCUAGCACUUCACUAACAAAGAAAAACAACAUUAGGAGUAAUCUUACCAAUCCCCAAGCUAAAAAGGGCAUUCCUCCUAGGGCAUAUAGUAAAACUCCAAAAGCUAUUGAGUGAAGCGGGUAUGUGACAUGAAGAAACCUAUAGAACUUCUGCCUUUUUAAAUCAUCAACAUUCUUUAGCCGUCCUUCAUACUGCAAAAAUCAACUUAGGUGUUAAAAAAUUGUUACGUAGUGCGUGUUGAGAAAGAUAGAAAAAGAAUGUGUUGUUUUCUAUACACUUCCAAAUCGAGAACGAUAAUCAAAGAGCCAACCAAUGUGACUAAACCACAAUCCUUUGAUGGGGCUAUGAGGGUCGUCCCACGUGUCAGUAAACUGGUGGUGAUUCCUGUGUGUGCUCGCCCAUUCAAUUGGACUUCCCUGCAAACCAAAAUCGUAUAUAAAAAUUUAUAAAAAACAAAGUGUUACAAUUAAAACUUGUCACAUUUGAUUCACAGACCUGAACUGACAAUACACCGCAAUAGGCAAAGAAAUAUUCAAGCCAUUUGGGAAGCUUAAAACUCCGGUGGGAAAGUUGCCUAUGGUAAGAUAGAGUGACACCUAGGCCUGUGAGACAAUAGAGUGCCACGGCCAACCAAAAUGCCCUCCAGUUGAAAUGAAAUGGCGCCAAAAGAACAAGGACAUGCAAAGUGGAAAGGAAAACGAUUGUGCCUAUAUCCACAAAGUUCCAUUCCCUCCCCAAAAAUUCAACCCUCGACUUCACCACCCAAGCUGGCAUAUUUGUCACACAGACUCUUAGUUCUGCUUCUUUAGCAAGUACCUUUGUCUGAACUGUUUAUGAGAAGAUGUUCGGGUACACUUACAUAUAUAUAGUUAUAGUUUUAAAUGGAUAAUGAGUUUCUAGCUUCUUCGACCUCCUGAGCAUUCAUUUCCAAGCUAAAACUCUUAAACGAAGAAUGUGGCUGGAUUUCAUGUGUGGGGGAUGCAUAUUUCAUUCAUUAAUUUAGUGGGGCAUGAUGUUUAAACGACUUUAUCUUCAUUCAUUUGAUAUACAUUGUUGGCUCAUUUUCUGAUAACUUAAAUUUUUAGAGAGUGAUAAUCUAACAUAAUAUCGUUGCAACUCCGAUUUUAUAGUCUUUGUUCUGUCUUUCCUUCGGACAGCCUUAUUGACAGCUUAAACUUUUGGUCGAGUGGUAAUCUACCAAUCUCUUCAUGAACAAUAUAAGAAGGGCCUUUUUGCAUGUAUUUGCUGGAGCUAUAGCAUUUGCCACGUCCCCAAAUAUGCGUUGCAAGAAUAUAAUUUCGAAGAUAAUAUCGCAACAAUUGCAUGAUAUGAAUGGUGAUUGUAGGGCCAUCCGGGGCGGAGCUAGAAUUGUAAAGUUGGAGGGGCCGAAGUAGAAAAUACAAGUAUAUAAAAUACUUAAGUGUUCAAUACUUACAUGUUUAGAACUAAAUAUUUCUAAUUGAGUCAUGUCUAAUUUGUUUUGGAGGAAAUUUUAACUUAAAUUCUAAAUUGUUUAUUACAAAUUCUAUAUAUUAUAUAUAAUAUAAUAGAUGAGUUAUAAAAAUAUGAGGAGGCCAGGGCCACUCCAGGUCUAGAAGUGGCUCCGCCACUGGGGCCACGGAAAAAGAUAUGGUGGAGAAUGAGUAAGUUGAUGGUUGCAACUUGCAUAGACUUUUAUUGCCUUGCAGCUCUAAAAUUAAAAGAUAUGUGCCUUCAUAUUAAUUCGAUUAUUAAAUAUAUGGGCCAAGAUGCGGACCAAUAUCUAGCGUAUUUGUGAUUUUGGUAUAUAACAAUUAAUGGAUUACAGUUAAGGGUGGGCAUCAAUCCAGCCGAACUAAUAAAAUCAGUCGAAUCAAAUCAUAAUUAUCGGUUUAGUUUGGUUUUGAUCAAGAAAAAGUCAAACGGUUUAAAAAUCAAACCAUAUCGUAUGUGAUUUGGUUUGGUUUGGUAGUGAACUUUUAUAAACCGACUUAAACCAAACCGAACGGUUUAUGUGUAUAUUUAUUUAUUUAUAUUUUAUUUACAUGAGUAAUACUCUAAUUAGUUAAUUACUAUAUAUGAAAAUUUGAAUUGAGCUAUAUUAGUUAGUGAAAUAUGAAGUUUUAUGACAUUUUGAGCUUUAGGAUGGUUUCGUACACUAAAAAUGAUUUAUGUAUGAAGCAAGUUGUGAAUUUGUUGGUUAAAAUUAGGCAAACAAUGUUGAAAAAAUGCAAAAAGAAAGAGAAUUGGGCUUAGGCCCAAACCGGGCAAACCAAACCGAACAAAACUGUCUUAAAUUGGUUUGGAUUGGUUCAAUUUCCUUUAUAACUUUUAUCCAAACCAAACCAAACUGUCAUAUUGUAAUUGGUUUGGCUUUGGUUUUGAGGCGAAACCAAUCCAAUCUGGACCAUGCCUACCCCUAAUUACAGCCUAUAUAAACAAAGAAUAUAGUUGCAAAUGUCAACAGGGUCUAGUUCAGUUAAAAAGGAUUUUAAUUUGUAAAUUAAUAGUUUCAUGUUCGAACCUCCAUGACAAUAUAGUAAUAUGUGUGUGUGUGAAAAACCUCCCUCCCACAUAAUUUUAAUUAUCGUUUGUACCAAAAAAAAAAGUAAUAUGAUUGAGAAUAAUGCAUGUGUCCUACAACGCAUCAACGGCUUACCGUCAUCAGAUUAAGAGGAAUGUGAUUCGUCAACCUCCGUCUUGUUUUUGUGUUGACUUCUUGUCAAUCUUGUGUCUCAUUCAUCUUACAAAGGGCCUUAUUGAUCCCCAUGCAGCAUUGGGCCCUCCUUAGUAAGAAGUUCGCAUGUGACCCAACUCUCCAAGAUUUUGUUGUUCAACCUGAACAUCAAUGAAAUCAAGUGGGCCUUUCAACAGGGUGGCUAUAACUGGCAAACUUGAUGUACAAAUCCAAAAGUUUGAUUGGGCUCCCCCCUUGAAUAUGUUAUCAAUUUACAAAUUAAAAAAACAAAAUAAAAAACUUCAAGAAUGUGAAAAAAGAUGCAACAAAAUCAACGGUGGCAAAUUGGUAGGUAACCUUGUCGGAUUUGAAUUGGAUGGUGAAUUCACAACCACAUAUGAGGUGGGCCCACAACCAUUACGAGAAAUAAUAGAGGCCUCACGAGAGGGUCCCGUGUACUCGUCAGUCUCCCAUCUUCCGUUCCGUCGUCCGAAUCAAUCAUAAACGAAUGACAGAGACGUACGACGUGUCGGAAAUCCAGGAUAUAUGGACGCGUGUCUCUGUCUUUCUUUCAUUACUUGUGAUACCGACACUGCGUCGAGGCUCAGCUCCAUCCUUCUCUCUAGGUAAACGUGUUACUUGUCCUCACAAUGCAUAUGACUAGUGCCAAAGGUUCUACUGUUUUAUAUUUAUUUGGAGUAAUGAUUUAAAGGAAAUAUUUCAUGUUUUUAUUUGAAAUACUUAUUCAUUUAGUAGUAUUUAUUUGGCUUAAUUACUCCAGCGUGGCCUGAAAGUAUUGUUAAAUUUUACAUUACCCCUUGAAACUCAAAACGACUUAAUUUGUUCAAUUGAUCAGUGUUUGGUGUCUCACUCAUUCCGAAACAGUAAAAUGUAACCAGUUUUAUAGUGAUGCAACAAACAUGGAGGCACACAAUAACUACAAACUCAUCACAAUUAUUUCAAUGGUGCAUAUUAAUAUAUUUUUGCCUUCUUUUUCCACAAGGAAUGCACAAUAUUAGCUGCGUUAAAAACAAUACUUGAUUAAAAAAGUGAAAUUAGGGUUUCUAGCUAUCAGUCUUAUAAUUAUAGGAAGGAAAAGAAGACUCUACUCAUUUGAAUGCGAAAGCAUUUCUAGCUAUCAAUCUUCAAGGCCUAUGUGAACGUAGGUAGAACCCUAGUUAGUUAGUUUGCUGCAAAUAUGAAUGAAUAAUGCAGGGGAGGGCAGCCGUGGAAGGAGGCUGGACCACAACCCAUUGCUAUUGCUUGUUGGCUUUCGGUGGGAAAGAAAAGGCAUGGGACAAUGUCAAUGUGGUCGGCUCACUUACACAUCAACGGGUGUGGUUGUGGGUGUGGCACACUAACCCAUAAUAACAAAUAUUAUUGGUCAUGGUCAGUCAGAGAGAUCGAUGACUAUUCAAUUGCUCUUGUUGUUGCAAAAGCCAAGGACAAUAGUCUACAAGGUACAGCUACUGUUUUUCCUAAUUUAGAAUGCUUGCUUUCUUUUGCAAAUGCUAUAAGAAAUGUGAGACUCAGUUCUAUCAAUUUCACAUAAUUAUAUUCGGGACUCAUAGCAAUUAUCAAGAAUAAAAACGUAUAUAUACAAAUUCAGAUAAUCUGCAAAAAAUUUACAUUAAAAUUGAACAACGCAGCAUGGGAAGACGAACCCCUGCCUCAGGAAAUGUCAAAUUUUGCCAAUUAAUGCAGUAAUGCAUUCAAGUUCAACUACCAACCAGCAGUCAGUCAGGUUACAUUUAAUUUAACUUUUUUUUUUUAAUAAGCAAUAAUCUAAACGAUAAGAAGGGGGUUACAUUUUACAUUUCUCAAUGACAAUUACACCCUAGAAAACCAGUAACUUUACCAACAAAAGGAGACAAAGAAGAAAAAAUAAAAAAUGGUGACCAACCUUUCCCAAUUCAUAUUGCCCAUGUUCUAUGAGCUUGACCACGAUCCUAAAACUGGUGACCAACCUUGCCUGUGAGGCUAUGACUGUGACUCUUACCCCAAUUACAGGCGACCAUCCUUGCAUGUUAACUGAAUUCGGGCGCCUGUAAUUGAUGAACCACACGUAAACGUAACCUCUAGAUCUACUUCUGUUGAAUUCAUUUUUCAUAUGAGUAUUUUAUUAGAAAUUCCAGAACACAUGCAUGCAUGUGUUACAUCUUUCUAACGCUCUUGCAAUCUCAUUCUCUUGUUAAAGAACCAGAAACUUCAUCAAAAGAUAAUUGUUAGAUUUUUCCAAGUUAAAUGCUGAAAUAACUUUUAGAAAUUUGAUCAAAACGAGGGAUCGAAUCAAAUAAGAAAAAAAAAUAUAUGGUACUUGAAAUAAUUGUGUGGAUAAACUUUGUUCACCUUGCAAUUUUUUCUCCUUUUUUGCAAAUAUAUGAAAUGAACAAUGGGGUUUUUUGAUAACCCAACACAUCUUUCUAUGAGCUGAGACUGUCGUUUAUAGCAAUGCAUGCACAUCGAGUCUCGAUCAUCUUCUGCAUGCGUUUUGGAGGGCAUUGAAACCAGACGUCUACAGUCAGUGCCAUUAGUUCUGGACACAGAAAAGCACAACCUCCCACUACUAUUUUUCCCUAUAAAAACACCACACUCUGCACCCCAUACAUCACUCACCAACAUUAAUUCAAUUGAUCAAAGCACCCCAAGCGAAAGAAACACUACAACAAUUGCCAUGGCUAUCCUUAAGGUGGUUUGUGCUCUCUUCAUGUGCAUGGUGGUGGCUGCACCCUUGAUCACCGAGGCAGCCCUUACUUGUCCUCAGAUUCAGGCCGGGCUUGCCCCAUGUCUGGGAUACCUCCAGCGGGGCGGUGUCCCCGCUGGGGGCUGCUGCCCCGGGAUCAAAAGACUGGUCGGCUCAGCCACGACCACAGCUGAUCGCCAAAAUGCUUGCAAGUGCUUGAAAACAGUUGCUGGCGCAGUCAAAGGCAUAAACCCAGGCUACGCUGCUGCCCUCCCUUCCUUGUGUGGCGUCAAAAUUCCCUACAAGAUCAGCGCCUCCACUAACUGCAAUAGGUAAAUUUUGUUCAUCAAAUAAUCUGACAGUUUUUUUAUAUUAUGUUCUAAAAUUUAAACACACUUUACGUAUUAUUUAUUUUGGGUUUUAUAUGUGUUGCAGCGUGAAGUGAUGAUACGGAGAAGCACGUGGAAAGGAAGGAUGAUAUGAGAUGAUAAUAUAGUAGAAGUAGCUAGGCUACGUUAAGAAUAAAGAAUGAGUGUUCUGUCGUUCUAAUCUCUUUUUAUUUUCAUGCAUGUCACCGAUAUCAGUCGGUUGUGGUUGUACUUGUACGUGAUGAUGGCUCUUACCAUCUUCCUCAGGCAAUCUAUAUCGUUCGUUUAUUUUCCAUAUGCUAGAACAAUCUUUAAUCUCGUUCGUUUCUUUUCCAUUUGCAAGAACAAUCUUAAUUAAUCUAGUUCGUUUGUUUAAAUAUAUAAUUUUUUUUCCUCAUUUGUUUGAAGGCUCAGUAUCCUCGAAGGGAUAGGGCCCAUAUACCAUAAUAUCCCAAAGUCACACACAUUUGAUAUUUUGUUAAAUUUCAUAGAGAUGGACCAUAUUCAUUCAUGCAAAAUUUUAUUGACAAAGUAAAAAAUUAUCUGUGGAAGAAUAUUAUGGGGUGGAUCCUAUCCAAGGCUGUAUCUAACGGUCAAGAAACUUAAAUAAAAUCAAAUGAAAUGUUAUGAUCAGUACCAAAAAUAAAUUUCUUGUUUUAAAAGUUGAGGUAUUCAAAGAAGAUAUUCUAACAAAUUACAAAUUGCAAUAUUUGAAUAAAGUUUUUUGUCACAUCCUGGAUCGGCUCCGCCGUCGCAUGAUAUUAUCCGUUUCGAGUCCCCUGCCAUCAGGUUUUGCUUAUGGGAAUUCACGAGCAACUUUCCAGUGGGUCACCCAUUCUGGGAUUACUCUAGCCCAAACUUACUUAAGUUCGGAAUUCCUAUAAUUCAAAAGCCAGUAAGCUUCCAAAAGGCCUCGUGCUAGAUGGAGGUAAGUAUGUACAUAUAAGACAUAUCACCCCCUCUCCAUUGAUCGAUGUGGAAUGUUACACUUUUUGUUGAAGAGAGUGGGUGUAUGAACAAAUAGUUGGAAAGCUGAAAAGUCGGUCGGAUUUACCAUGAAAGAGAUGGUUCUUAAUAAUUUGCCUCGUUUACAAACAUAAAAACAAUAGAUUUUGAUGACCAGAAGUUUUUUUGUACCUGGUUUUGGAGCAAAACACGAAUGGCAGGGGAGACACGGGUCUGGUGUACUCGAACGUCAACAAGAAACAUUUAAGUGAAACAAAUCAAUUAUGCAGUACGCACACAUUAAUAUCAUGGGACCCCGACCUUGAUUGUGCACCUAACUAAGUUGCCAGCAAGCCCUGUUUUGAACAGAGAUAAGUUUGAGGUACCAAUUAUAAUUUUUUUUUUUUCAGCCAAACUGGGGGAAGACAUUAUCCAAGGUUAAUAUGGUAUUAUCCUGGUUUUACCCUUUUGGGAUAGUCAUGAUCCAUGGGGAAUAAAGUUUUAAUCAAGUGUGACAAUUUCUGUAAAUGACACAAUAACAUAAGAUCUACAUUAUAAUUUAUAUGUCGUGUCUUCAUAACAGGAUUUUUUUUGGUUCGAUAUAUAACAUGAGCUAGCUUGUCACAAAAUUGAUACGAAAAAUAUCUAAAAGAACAUGAUUUCUCUUUGUUUUGGCCUUCUCUUUCAUGUAGGUAGUAAGUUGGGGGAUCAUUUAUGUGAUUAGGCUAAGUUUGUGCUUAAGCGCAUUUAAGGGAUCCAACUGCAAUCUUAAAACUUGAACAUAGUACCCCAAGCAUUAAAUCCACCCCAACUACCAACUGAUUCCUUCCCAACUCCCACACAUAUUUUGGGGGCCAUGUGUAAUAUUUUUUGUUCACAACUACACGUUUGUUGUAAAAGGUUAACGACUGUGGGGAAAUUUAAUUUUACCUUAUCUAAUUUAUGUUUCACGACUGUGAAUUUAAAGACAAAAAUUAGUAUGAUGAAUAAUUCAAUUUUAUAAUAUGAAAUAAAAAUAUUUUACUUACAUCAUAUUAGCAUUAUUUUUAGAGAUUUUUUUGUAUGUAUAAAUUAUGAUGUUAAAAUGAAUUUAUUUAUAAAAUACUAUUAUUUUGAAUCUGACAGUCAAUAAUAAUAAUUGAUGUAAUAAGUAUGCAUCAAUAAUUCACCUCAUUUCUUCUCUAUAUAAACACAAGAGCAUGGUGCCAUACUACUCACUACUCUCAAGUUCCUCAAAUCAAGUGCUUACAAAUCCGUUUCAAACUCCUUUUUUCUUCGAUCAUCAUAGUCGAGAGAGAUGGCUUACUCUGCCAUGACUAAGCUUGCUUUGGUGGUGGCCUUGUGCAUGGUUGUGAGCGUGCCCAUUGCUCAAGCCAUAACAUGUGGCCAAGUGUCCAGCAGCCUUGCACCAUGCAUACCCUACGUGAGAGGCGGUGGAGCUGUGCCUCCAGCUUGCUGCAACGGCAUUAGGAACGUCAACAACUUGGCAAGGACCACCCCUGACCGCCAGGCCGCUUGCAACUGCCUGAAACAGCUUUCCGCCAGCGUCCCCGGAGUCAACCCUAACAAUGCCGCAGCGCUUCCCGGCAAGUGUGGAGUUAGUAUUCCUUACAAGAUUAGCGCCUCCACCAACUGCGCCACGUACGUAUUAAAAAUAAAAAGAACUCCAAGUUUUAAUUUUGUAGGUUUGAUCAAAAUUCAACGGUUCAUAUUAUCUCAAAACCUAACUUUUUAAAUGUGGAUCGUUGAAAUUUUGGUCUAGCUUGUUGAGAAUUAAAUGCGGAACAUUACAUAACUGACUGACUUUUGGGUUUGUUUUGUUGUGGUGUUGCAGCGUGAAGUGAGCUUGAUAUGGGACAAGUAUUUUCGGCCGCAGAUAAUAUUAGAGAGUCGGAAUAAAAAUGUGGCUAUGUGAUCCACUUAGGGAUUCCUCACGACGGAAUCGUUAAGUUAUUCUAUGUAAUCUUUAUCUUUGUAUAACUAAUAAUAUUUAUGUUUAAGUAAUCUUCUUUUUUCCUAUAAUUAUUCAAAUCCCUCUUCCUCAAUCCUAAUAAUCUAAGAAAAUAUUUAUAAAAACAAAAAUAAAACUAGCUUGCUUAAGUCCACUGAGAUACAAAUUAAGACGUGUAUAUUUUAUAAGUGUUCAGUACAACUGUACAAGAAUGCCUGCCCCCACGUGGGUUUGGACCCACACGGAUUCGUGCUCAUUGAAUAAUAAUUCAAUUCUCUGUUCAACUAUGGUUUUUGGCAAGAUAUUCUACUGACCAAAUCCAAAUAGUGAGUUAUUGGUAUAUUGUGUUUUUUUUUUCACUGAGAGGGACGAUUGUAUAAUAAACUUAUACAAACUAUACGGAUGUUAGAACUCGAAUUUCAAAUUUUGUCUAAAAAAAUAAAUACUCUAAAUCACAAUAUUAGUGAGUCUUUUACAUGAUAUUGUGUUUUUAAAAAAAUGGGGAACUAGGGCUUGUGAUGGUAAAUAUCUCAAUCUUACUGACCAACCGGAACAAUGAAGCUAGAUGGUAGGCUGUAUGUUGGUCAUGUGCAUGGUGGUCGGUGCACCACCUGAACUGCGCAGAUUAUAUAGGCUAUAAUUAAGUUUGAUCAAUCUGUGCCUAACAGCAUUUAAGGGACUCAACUGUAACACCGACUUCCUCUCCCCAACUCCUACGCACGUGUUUGGCUCAUGUAAACUUUCUGUUCCCACCUGAAUUCACAUGUGUUUAAGACAUGGUUACCAUGUUACCAAGGUAAUUAUACUCACCUUAAUAUUAAUAGUUAAUGUAAUAAGUACACAUUAAUCCACAUGCUAGCCAUAGAUAACGAGUUUAUACAUAUAAUAUCAAUAGAUAAAACAUAACGAGUGAAGUGUAAACACUAUAUGAUAGUGUGAGUAAUUUCACUCAGAAAUUACUCAUCAAUAACACCAACAUAUUCAUCCAAUGAUCCGAUGAUAAGUCUUGUCACUCGACCUUCCAUUCACCCAAUUUCCUCUCUAUAUAAAUCACCAGACUAUGUUGCCUUACUACUCACCCAAGUCCCCAAACUAAUCAAGUGAAAUUUUCAUACACAAUUUUUUCUCUGAGCAUCAAAGUCAUUAUUUAUGGCUAGCUAUGCAUUGAUUAAGCUUGCUGUGUUUGUGGCCUUGUGCAUGGUGGUGAGUGUACCCAUAGCCUAUGCCAUAACAUGUGACCAAGUCUCCCACAACCUCGUUCCAUGCCUAGACUACUUGAGGAAUUGCGGUGCUGUCCCUGAACCUUGUUGCAGAGGAAUUAGCAACCUCAAUGACUUGGGAAGAACCACCGCUGAGCGCCGGACCAUUUGCAAUUGUCUGAAACAAAAUGCUCCUAGCUUGACCGGAGUUAAUCCAACCUUGGCAGAAGAGCUUCCCGCCAAGUGUGGAGUCAAUGUUCCUUACAAGAUUAGCCCCAACCCAAACUGCGCAAAGUACGUAUCAAAAACCCCACAGUGCUCAACUAUGGUUGCCUCAAAAUUUAAUCUAAUUUGACUGCCAACCAUUGCAUUUUGAUGUAACGGUUUCAUGUCAUCGAAACUCCAAAUUAACUUGGUUUUUAACUAAUACAUGUUUCUCAUGAAGGAAAAAAAAAGGUAGUAUUUUAUUGAUUUUGCUAUGUUUUGUUGUUGUGUUGCAGCGUGCAGUGAACUUGAUGGGAGAUUAAUUUUUCGGCCCCAAAUAAUAUGAGAGUGAAAACAAAGUGUGAUUCCUCAUAGUCCCUAGUACUUCGAUUUUCAUCCACAUGGUGAUGAAUAUUGUAAUACUUAUAUGGAAUUUAUAAUAAAAGAAAUGUUGUUCUCUUUUCUCUUUUACUUAACUUUCUCUUCCUUUUGUAAGAGUUAAAUAAAAAAACGAAACUAAAAAUAGCAAAAGUAGCUCAUCUGGGCAACAAAUUUUGGACCUCUAUUAAAUUGAAUUCAAUAGUUAAUAGUGAAUUGCUAUCGCUCAUCUCAAUAGAAAAGUUCUUCUUAUCGAUAAUUAUAAUUAGGCAUUCAGGCAACAAGAUAACAUCAACAAUUAACAAAUGAGUUCAGUCAAAACGAAAAAAUAAUUUGUCAAUUGGUGAAGAUAUAGAUUAAACUCCUUUAUCUCAUUUUCUUUCAUGAUCAUUACACACAUAGACCAAUUGGACCAACUCACACUGUUGAUGACAGCCCAAGCCGAACCAAUGCCUUGCCAUAUUGGGCUAUUUCAAUAAAGGUAAUGUUAGGCUUAUCACAUUUUUAUACUACUUUGUGUACCACUUCUCUAAUAGAGGUGGAGUCCACCAAUACAAUGGAGUCCAACUUUAUUAAAGAGGUGGUACACAAUAUGGUAUAAAAAAUGUGAUAAGCCUAGCAUUUUCCUUUCAAUAACAAUUCGGCUAAUCAAGAGAAUUCGAGAUCACUUACAACCAUUGGUUGCUGUUGGUCAUGGAUUGAAACGUUAGGCCACGUUUUUGUUUACCAAUCCAAAUUGUAGACCUCUUUAUUAUGAAAGUGAUCAAACGUUAGGACACUUACAAAUAAAAAGUGGAGCUCACUUGUCAAGAUUUAACAUGUACUUUAUUCAUCAAAUAUGGCAAACUCUGGUGCACCAAUGAAGGUUUGCUCAUGUGCAUGGUGGUGGGUGCACCCUCAGCCCAGGCCAUAACGUGUAGCAAUGUGACUGCAGCCAUGUUGCCAUGCAUAACCUGACUGGUAGAGGACCAGGCCAGGGACGGACCUUUAGUUUGGCAAACCUAGGCUAUAGACAAGGUGGCUUCUUUUUUCCAACCAACUCCCUCCCAACUCUCCUACACAUAUUUUUGGGGUCAUGUGUAAUUUUUUUUGUUCACAACUGCACAUUUGUUGUAAAAGGUUAACCACUGUGGGGAAAUUUAUUUUUACCUUAUCUAAUUUAUGUUGCACGACUGUGAAUUUAAAGACAAAAAUUAAUAUGAUGAAUAACUCAAUUUUAUAAUAUGAAAUAAAAAUAUUUUACUUACAUCGUAUUAGCAUUAUUUUUAGAAAUUUUUUUGUAUGUAUAAAUUAUGAUGUUAGAAUGAAUCUAUUUAUAAAAUACUAUAAUUUUUAAUCUAACAGUCAAUAAUAAUAAUUAAUGUAAUAAGUAGGCAUCAAUAAUUCACCUCAUAUCUUCUCUAUAUAAACACAAGAGCAUGGUGCCAUACUACUCACUACUCUCAAGUUCCUCAAAUCAAGUGCUUACAAAUCCAUUUCAAACUCCUUUUUCCUUCGAUAUCAUCAUCAUAGUCGAGAGAGAUGGCUUACUCUGCCAUGACUAAGCUUGCUUUGGUGGUGGCCUUGUGCAUGGUUGUGAGCGUGCCCAUUGCUCAAGCCAUAACAUGUGGCCAAUUGUUCAGCAACCUUGCACCAUGCAUACCCUACGUGAGAGGCGGUGGAGCUGUGCCUCCAGCUUGCUGCAACGGCAUUAGGAACGUCAACAACUUGGCAAAGACCACCCCUGACCGCCAGGCCGCUUGCAACUGCCUGAAACAGCUUUCCGCCAGCAUCCCCGGAGUCAACCCUAACAAUGCCGCAGCGCUUCCCGGCAAGUGUGGAGUUAGUAUUCCUUACAAGAUUAGCGCCUCCACCAACUGCAAAACGUACGUAUUAAAAAUAAAAAGAACUCCAAGUUUUAAUUUUUGUAGGUUUGACCAAAAUUCAACGGUUCACAUUAUCUCAAAACCUAACUUUUUAAAUGUGGAUCGUUGAAAUUUUGGUCUAGCUUGUUGACAAUUAAAUGCGGAAUAUUAUAUAGUUGACUGACUUUUGGGUGUGUUUUGUUGUGGUGUUGCAGCGUGAAGUGAGCUUGACGCAGAUAAUAUAAGAGAGUGAGAAUAAAAAUGUGACUUUUGGGAUUCCUCUUGACGGAAUCGUUAAGUUAUUCUAUGUAAUCUUUUAUCUUUGUAUAACUAGUAAUAUUUAUGUUUAAGUAAUGAAUAUUGUAAUACUAUAUGGAAUUUAUAAUAAAAGAAAUGUUCUUCCCUCUUCUCUCAAAAAACAUUCUUAGAACUUUUUCCACUUUGAGGGGGAAGGAAGCCAUUGUUCUUCCCCCCUCUCCCCUCUUCUCUUCCUCCUUUCACAUCUUCCUCCAUUUUCAAAGACAAAGGGUUUUCCCUAUUUGUCUUAGUUUUGUUAUGAUUUUCAUCCAACCAUUAUAGGAGGUUGCUGCUCAGCGUCGAAUCUUCACCUGCAUUUCGGCAUCGGAUCUCCACCACCAUCUUUUUUGCAAUUUCUUAAUGUUUGGAAUAAGUUGCAGAGACUCUUUGGGUUUUCUUUAUAGUUUUCACCUCUUCUUUUGUGAGAGUUUUUCAUCUCUCCUUUGUGAGAGCUUUUCAUCUAUCUUUUGUGAGAGUUUCAUUUGUAUUGUUAUAGUUUGGUUUUUUCAAACUUUAUCUUUUUUUUAUUAUUCUAAGUUUGCAAUUUUAGUUGGGAUGCCUAUACCAGAGUUUCUUCUAUCCUGUCUGAUCGUUAGUGGAGACACACCAGAUUGUCUUAAUUUUGAUAUUAGACGGCUCUGUUAUUGUAAUGACCCUUUUGUGGCUAGUUUGUAUUGACCAUUUGUGGCUAGUGGCUUUUUGGCUGAAUUAUGAAUGAAAUCAUAUAAUUUCUUUAAUUAAUAAAUAAUUAAAAAAAACCCUCUUUUCCUUUUGUAAGAGUUAAAUAAAAAACGAAACAAAAAAUAGCAAAAGUAGCUCAUCUGAGCAACAAAUUUUGGACCCUAUUCAAUUGAAUUCAAUAGUUAAUGUUGAAUUGCUAUAGCUUAUCUCAAUAGAAAAGUUCUUCCUAUCAAUAAUUAUAAUUAAGCGUUCAGACGACAAGAUAACAUCAACAAUUAACCAAUGAAUUCAGUCAAAAUGAAAAAAUAAUUUGUCAAUUGGUGAAGAUAGAUUAAACUCCUUUAUCUCAUUUUCUUUCAUGAUCAUUACACACAGACCAUUUGGACCAACUCACACUGUUGAUGACAGCCCAAGCUGAACCAAUGCCUUGCCCUAUUGGGGCAAUAACGGUUCGGCUAAGCCUUGGCCCUUCAAGAAAAUUCGAGAUCAUUCACAAUCAUUGGUUGCUGUUGGUCAUGGAUUGAAACGUUAGGCCACGUUUUUGUUUAUCAAUCCAAAUUGUAGACCUCUUUACUAUGAAAAGUGAUCAAACGUUAGGACACUUAACAAAUAAAAAGUGGAGCUCACUUGUUAAGAUUUAACAUGUACUGUCUUCCUCAAAUAUGGCAAACUCUGGUGCACCAAUGAAGGUAGCAGUUCUUAUGUUGCUCAUGUGCAUGGUGAUGGGUACACCCUCAGCCCAGGCCAUAACGUAUAGCGAUGUGACCGCAGCCAUGUUGCCAUGCAUAAGCCACCUGCCGCCGGACCUAUAGCUUAGGUGGCUUCUAUUUUCCAGCCAAAAAAAUAAAAUCCUAACUCACCUAGGGAUGAACCUUUAGCUUGGCAAACUUAGGCUAUAGACAAAGUGACUUCUUUUUUCCAGCCAAAAAUAAUAAAAUCCUAGCUCACCCAAGGACGGACCUUUAGUUUGGGGAACCUGGGCUAUAGCCCAGGUGUGGCUUCUUUUUUCCAGUCAAAAAAAUUAAAUCCUAGCUUACCCAAUUUAAAUAACCUAACCUCAUUUAGUUAUCCUCUUUACACAGCACGUAGUCAAUAAAAAGAGAGAGGGGGAGAACACACAACACAACAAAAUAAAAAAAUUAAAAAAAGAGAAAAAAUAACUCUCACACACAGCACGUAGAAAAAAAAAAAAAAAAAAAAAAGGGAAGCACCACCCUACCCUUGCAUGUAGAGAGAGAGAGAAAAAAAAAAAAAAAAGGCUCUUCUUGAUGCUGCACUCACCUUCAAGACUUAAUUCAAGUGAAUCAAGUUCCUAUAUUCGUCAUGUAAGCUUCUCUCAAUUUCUUGAUGCUUUAAUUUGAGGAUUUUUUUGGAGUUUAUGAAGUAUCAAUUAGGAUUUGCAAUUGACACUUAUGAAUUAUCAAUUAGGAUUUGCAAUUGGGACAUCAGUUUCAGUUUAUGAGUUAUGAAUUAUCAAAUAGGAUUUGUAAUUGAUUUUAUUGUUCUUGCUUUUUUUUUAAAAAAAAAAAAUCUUAUGUUAUCAAUAAAAUCACAUGGUAUUGUUGAAUUUUCUAUUUACUUAGUACCUAAAUUUGGCCAACUUUAUUUUAAAAUCCUGAGUUCGUCCCUCAAAGAAUGCCAACACCACCGCUGAACGCCAAAACGUUUGCAUGUGUUUGAAAUUCGAGGCCAAUGGUAUCCCAGAUCUUAAGCCUAACCUUGUCUCUGGCCCUCCCUCCAGCUGUGGACUUAACCUCCCGUACAAGUUCAGCUGCAGCACGUACGUAUAAAUUUAUAUAUCUCACAAAAUCACAUAAUCAACGGACUAUAUUAUACGUUAAGUUCACUUGUUAUAGCGAUAAGUUCUCAAGAGAUAGUAACCACUAUUUUUAUUUAUUUAUUGGAUUUUAUUGUGUUGCAGCAUCAUGUGAUGAAUGAAGUUGAGAUGGACGAGCAUGCAAUAUUAAGAAAAUAUGGUGUGUGGGAAUUAAAUAUUCCCCAUGUGAUAGCAUCUAGCCGAGUUGAAAAGAGCCUAAACUUGCAGACUAGAGAUCUCAUGUUCGAACCAUCAUGACAUAAAUUGUGUGUGUAAAAAACUCCCUCUUUUAUAAUUUAAACUAUUAUUUAUACUUAAAGAACAUAAUAUAUGUCAUUUUUCAUGAAAAUAUCUGUAGCAUAUAUUGCACCGAUCAAGAGCUAUAUAUAUGACGUACGUAGUUCAACAACAAAGUUUGUCAUGUAGUUAAAAGCAUUGAAUUUAGCUGCCAACUAAUAUCCAUAUUUCGGAGCCACAUGUUCGUGGCCUUUGUUCUUUACUCUCCCACUUUUUCAUAUAUAAACCCCUCCAGACCACUCGUCCCUACCACACAGUCAAACUCACAAACCUCCAGCUACAAGUAUACAUUUUCACAAAGCUCCUUCAAAGUCUCAAUAGUUCUUCUCAAGUUAUGGCAAGCUCCCUGGCCUUCAAGCUUGUUCUGGUGGUCCUCGGGUGUACGCUGGUUGGUGCACCCUUAGCCCAAGCUGUCAUACCAUGCAGCAGGGUGUCACAAUACGUGGGACCCUGCAUAAGUUACUUGAAGACGGGUGGGGCCGUGCCUGUACCAUGCUGUAAUGGGAUUAGGUCCCUGAUCGGCUUGGCUGGGACCACACCUGACCGCCAGG